rnacentral:lncRNA from 1 species
GGGGGUGUGGGAAUUAGAGUAGAUUUAGGAGUCCGUGCCCGAGUGCGUUGAUACAUAAUCCGAACCGACGGCCGAUCCACAUGACUACCAACAGGAAUCUUUGCAGAACUGUUAGUAUCCACAGUAGGAGCAGGAGAACAAGUAGCAACAGUACUGGGUGAAUCUAGGGCUAGGCCAGAUGCAGAUGCAGUGAUGUUGUCAUUGAUAUCAAACUGUGAUAUGUGAAAUACUAGCUCAGAAAUGGAGCGGGCAAUAGAGGGAUCUAAAUCAUGUUGUGGAUGUGAGACAAACAAAUUCAGUUUAUUUAAGUCACCAGCAAUAGGCAUGUCAUGUGAUUACUUUGAAAAGGACUGUAAACAAGUGUAGGGAAAUACAGACUCAACAUACACAACAUGACGGAAAAUGAGAAUUUUACCAGAGGGAGGAUAUAAACAACGAAAUCCCUUGUGAUGCUCAGAAGGGCCACAAAAAAUACAAGGCAGAGACUGUGGAUGGAGCUUAUGCGAUGCAAUAUCCUGAAUGUUCAGAUAAUAAAGACAUCCAAAAACUCUGAUAACAUUCACAUUAGGAGGAGAAUAUCCAUGUAACUUUUGAUAAGUAGUGGAGCCAUUCAAAACAGUGAAUGAUGGAGUGUGAUUUAAAAAAAAUACAGCAUAGUAUAGGGCUUCAGCCCAAAACCGCAUUGGCAUGGCAGAUUGAAAUAAAAGAGUGCGAAUAGCAUUUGCUAUGUGUCUAUUUUUGCGCUCAGCAAUGCCAUUCUGCUGAGGCGUUUAAGGAUACGAUAAUCGAUGAAAAAUACCAUUGGCACUCAGAAAAUCAAUAAAAAUCUUAUUAACUAACUCUUUUCUCCCAUCAAAAUGAAAGUAGCAAAUAUUUGCUUUGUAAAUAUUUUUUAACAUGGCAUGAAAUUCAAUAAAUUUAUUAUAAACUUCAUGUUUAAAUUUAAGAGUAUGUACCUAGACGUAUCAAGAAAAAUCAUCAACAAACAACACAUAAUACCAAUAUCCAGAGGGAGAAAGAACAUGUGAUUGCCAAACAUUAGAGUGAAUUUGUUCAAAUGGAUAAGAAGAUUGUGAUUGAGAAACACUAAAUGGUAAUUUGACAUGCUUUCCAAGAUGACAAGCAUUACAAUUAUUGAAUUGAACAGACUUAACAGAUGCAUGUGAAACAUUAUUAAUAUCUUUUAAGAAACGAAGCAAAACAUCAUUACUGGGAUGACCUAAUCUCCUAUGCCAAAGUUCAGGACUCAACUGGAGUUACUGGAUAGCUGCUAAUGCUAUCUUAUUCCUAACAUCGACAGUGGAAACUUGAGAAGCAAUAGGGUAAAGUGACGACCCAGGAUUAUUGCACCGAAGAAGCUCCUUGUUCUUAGAUCCUUCACAAAAAAACCAAAUGAAUCAAAUUUCAUAGAACAUUUAUUAUCACGACAAAAUUAUCGAACAGAUAAAAAAUUUUUCUUAAUGGAAGGAACGACUAAAAUAUUAUGCAAAAGAAAGUUAGUAUGAGGUGUAUGCAGCCUAGAUUCACCAACAGCAUGAAUAGCAAUUUGUUCUCCAUUUCCUACUAGAACACGAUCACUACCGUGAUAAGGUUGAGUGCGAAAGUAUACCUGAAGUGGCAGUCAUGUGGUUCGUCGUCCCUGUGUCAGGGUACCACACCUCUUAGUCAGACUCAUCUUGUGAAAUACUCAUGGUAGCAAAGGAUUGUGGUAUAUCAUAGGAUAUAUAAUUAUGAUUAAAGCAUUGUCUACACUGAAGUGUUGUAUGAUUAAAUUUACCACAUAUCUGGCACAUGGGGCCAGAUUGCUUCUGAAAGAGGGAAGGGUUAGGAGGAGGUCUGGGAGAUGGUGUGGCUCGAUAGUGUGGAUGUUGCUAUUAGUAGUAGUUGGGCUGAACACCAUAUUGAUAGUUAGUCAUUUAUCUUGGUCCCUGGCGUCGUCCUCCACGAUCGCCUCUGCCUCCACGAGAUUGAUCUCUGCGGCCACCCUGAUUGCCUGGCUGACCACCACCACAUGCAGCCACAAAGGCAGUAGAAUGGCCAGUGGGAGGAGCGGAACUGCGAAGAGUACUAAAGCACUGAUUCUGCUGUUUCUCUUGAAGAAGUAGCAGGCGAAGCUCCUCAAGAUCAGAAAGAUUACCACGUGUAGUAACAGUGGUAAUGAAACCCCUAUACUCCUUGGGAAGACCAUGAAGAGUAGCCAUCACAAGCAUACGAUCUGUCCCAUGACCACCAAUGGAGCGAAAACUCUGACCAAUAUCCUUAAUUUUUAAGAUAUAGUUAGAGACAGACAUUGUGCCCUUCUUCAAAAGGUGAAGCUCACUCUCCAACUGGAACUCCAUAGCGGUGGUCUUGUCACCAAAGUGCUUCUCAAUGGCAAGCCAAAUGUCCCUAGUAGUGUUCUCAGUAUCAGAAAGAAUAUGUUGAAGCAUGGUAGGGGACAUGGUGGUAGCGAGCCACAACUGAACAGUGCUGUCCUUCUCCUGCCAGGUCUCAAAUAUCGGAUUAGGAAGAUAAUUUUUUGAAUCAUCUUCAAUAAAUGCAGGAGGUGGGAGGUUGGUACCAUUCACAUGUCCUAACACCUUAAAGGUAGAAAGAACAUUCGAAAAAACCUUCUUCUAAAGUAAGUUGUUCUCAGUCAGCUCGAUAGUGACAAGACUCUUGAUGUUGAUGACCGAAAGAGCCGUAAUAGUGGAACUAGAAGCCAUGGUCGGGAUGGAAUGGCACGGCCCGGGGUGAGUGUGGCAUGGCGGCAUAGCAGGGAUCUGGGGCGUGAGCCCUAAAGCUCUGAUACCAUGAUAGAAGAGAUAAUUUGCUAUAUUACUUGAUACAUAAAUAUGUUACAGAAUACCUCCUUAUAUACACAAGAGAUAAACCAAAUCAGGCAAGUACCAACCUAUGCCUACUUAUAUACAACUUAUACAUAACCCAUGUAUAUCUCAUCCAAAUCUUAUUAUAAAGAAAAGCUAGCUAGGUGUAUCUGGACAUCCAUAUACAACUCACCCAAAUCUUACUGAAGAGGAAAGCUAGCUAGAUGUAUCUUGACAAUAGCUGUCUAACAAUUAUAAUAUGUUACUAGUUGAAGAUUGGGCUAAGUUAAUAAAAACAUGCCAUUUGAUCUAAUUUAUCUCUUCUAGACACAAAACUGCGAUUUUUGGAAUGGGCUCUAUCUUGUAUAUCAUAUUGCGUAGGGCAGUCAGAAACUCCUCGUCUAUGUCUAUCUCAAGUAUGGGUUACUAGAAUCUUGGAUUCAGAUAGUAAGCUAUAGAUAAAUUUUGUAAUUAUUUAAGUUGUACAAAUACAAGAGCAGUUAAAUUUUUAGAGUAUUUUUAAUGUUUUGCCUUAUUUGCUAGAUGCGAGUUCCUACUCAUUUGGGAGUCUCACCAUUGCUUAAUAACUUGGAUGUACUCUUAGGUAUGUUUUGGAUUUGCCCUCUCCAUCAUAUGAUAUAAGAAGCUCAUCUGGGGGUGUCUCUCACUGUUCACGCUCCUUACCAAAAUGUCUGCUUUGUCACUAUAUUCUCAAUAGUACUCUCCUUCCUCCCCACCCUCAUAUAUUUGCUCUUCUGCCACUCGGUAUACAAAUAUUUGCUCUCCUUCACUAUCAAUUUGAGGAUUAUAUGGUGUCAUGCACUCGAUCCAAAGCAUCAAUUGACUUCUAAAAAAAAUAUUUUUUAUCAUAUUAUGUGAGGAAGUUGAUGAUGUUACAUCUGAUAGGAUCAGUCCAACCAUCACACUUCACCAUUGGUUCAUAUGUGGCCCAUUUGCUCUGAUAGGAUGCAAUGCAUUUUUGUAGCUUCUUGUUAUUUUCAUGAAGCUCAUUGUAGAUACCCUUCAGUCCUGAAGGAUUUACACCCCUGGUCGGCAGUUUGUAUAGAUGUAAGGAUAGAGCAAUAAUAUGUGUUGACUGCUGCAUUCUUUGAGAUAUGGCUGAAAUGAAAUUAGGAUCUAAUAGCUUGCCACAUAUCCUUCUUAUGUUUCUUCAACAUAUUGUCAAUCCUCUGUUGUUUUGAAUCUUUUUUAGGGAAGACGUGGGAUCUAGGUCAUGGAUGAUGGCUUGUGGUGGAAUCUUUCUGGAGAACUUCUUUUUACUGCUAAAAGCCCUUGGUAAAGAUGCAAUACCGCUACUACCUCUACUCAUAGCCUUCCUAACUGAGGAAGUCCUUCUGAACUCUGACUCUCCUUUCGACGAUUGUAGAGCCCAACCUCGACUUAUAGUGUGAUGAUCCAAAUUGAGCCCUAAGCCCGACCGCCUCCUCAAGUUGUCACUGGUCAUCCAAGCUUGCCUGAAUGGCAGUUUGGAUUUAUACCUUCUUGUCAUCUAGAGUGGAAGCCUUCUCUGACUCCUUUUAAGUGAUAGAAAAGUGGCUCUGUUGCUCAACGGUCUAUCUCUGCCUUCUUUGAAACCCUCUUCUUUGCUGCUUAAACGGUUCGUUUGGGGAUGACCAUGGCUGAUUUUGGUGUUUGUAAUUGGAUUUUAUUGGAUUUGGAUCCUUAGCCUAAUGAGGAUGCCCGGGUUUAAAUGGGAGAUUAUGAUUGGACUCAUGUGGCCAUAUGGGUAUAUGUUUAGUAUCAUAUCUAUUAUGCAUUGGAAAGAUUUUGGAUACUUAUAUAGGGCCAAAUAAUCUAAACAAUACCUUCUAGCUAGCUUUUUUGGGUAAAGCCUUGAAUUUCACAAAAUUCAAUAGGGGAGAAACAAAGAAAAAACUGAAGGAGAAAAGGGAAAAAAAGAUAGAAAAGGGAAAGAAGAUUAAAAGAUUUAGAAAAGGGCAAGUAAGGGGGGAGAGAGGGAAAAAAAUGAGAUAAGAAUAAGAGUAAGGACUAGGGAAAAAAAGAAGAAUAAAAAGAUGGAAUUAAGAAGGGAGAAGAAUAGGGGAAAAGAAAGGUCAUUCGAAAGAGAGAGAGAGAGAGGGGAAAACAUUAUAUGGGUGAGAUGAGAUUAUAAAUCAGGAAAACUAUAACACAACUUGAAUUGUCGUUUUCAGUCUCAUAUCUUACUAAGUCACGAACAUUCAAAACUAAUAGAAAGAGUUAAGUGUAAUGCCAGAAUGAACAGGUUAAAGUAACAUUUAUAUAUUAUAUGCCUAAUUGGCCAUUGCCUAGGUGGUUUGGCCUAGGUGGUGAUUUUGACAACCUGCUAUUGACCAGAAGUUCUUGAAUCCAUCAGCCAUUCCCUUUUUCACAGAAUUUUCUGUAGUCUCAUCUUUGUUCCUGUCUAAUCUUAUGGUAGUUCAGGGUUAUUAUAUUUCUAAAUGGCUUUAAUAAGUGUUCAAUCAGGGGCAUUGUAGGUAUGGUUGCAACUACUACCUUGACUACUUGCACAGGAUGUAAACUAGCCAAGCAGAAACCUUCCACAAGAGUUGCUCAACUCAGUCUCUUUCAUUUAUAUUAGCAUUAUGUCGUAUAAAUAGAAGCUCCUAAUAUAACCCAUAAUGAUGCCUUUAGCUUUUAGACAGGUAAUGAGGGAUUGAUUUAUCUCUACAAUAUUUCUUUUUAGUCUGGUAUGGAGCAUGGAAAUGGGAUAUGGCAUAAUAAUAUGAUUUUUAGGGAGAACUGUGAAAAUUAGGACAGGUUACAGCCGGGAUAUAUUAUAUGUAUAUACACAGUAUGUAUGUAUAUAUAUGUAAAAUUGGGACAGGACAUGCAGAUACAUGUGUAUUUACAUAUUUAAGCAUAUGUAUUCAUGUACACAUGCAUAUACAUAAGUAAAAAUAAUAUUGACAAAGCAUGAUGACUUAUGAGGAUAAUUUAGUCCAUACUCUCAAUAACAUCAAAAUCACAAACUUUAAAGAAGAGAGUUGGGGUCUGGGGGGGGGGCGCAUCCUCCUCCAUGUCCAUCAUUAAUAGUUCAAUAUUUGUCAGAAAUAACAAAAAAGAAAUAAUCUUCCCCCUCAUCCUCAGAGGUGUCCGGGAAGAAUGCCAAGCAUAUUCAGUGGAAAUAUUUGGAGCUUUUUAGUAAUUUUAAUAUAUAGGAUACUUGAAAAUUGAAAUAAGUAUGACAUUUAUCUAAGCUAUACCCAAUAAGCACGUCUAUCUGAUAUUUAUUGGAUAUGGAUAUGCCAUGUAAUUUGAACUUUGAAGCAUAUGUCUGUCCUAGUUUGUUUGUUAAAAUUUGUGUGCAGUUAUUUAUGAGUCUCAAAUGACUUAAUAAGCAAGUGGUGACUCAAGAAUUUUGGACAGUAAUCUCUAGCUAUUGACCUGAGAUUCAAGCCAUAGGUACAGGGGAAACUGCUUAUAAUCUUUGAUAAUCAUUUUGAUCGAUGCUCGCCAAAAGAUGGGUGCUUUGUUUUAAAUAUACAAAUAUUUUAAUUGUAAUUUGUUCAUGUUUGGGAUAAAAGUGGUUCCUACUUUAGAUGAUUUUAUUGUGAUUGCUAAAUGAAGGCCAACUCCACUUGGGUUUCCUUUUCCAAAGGGGAGACCUAUAUUUUUCCUAGGUCUUCUUUCCAAAAGUGGAAGGUGAUUGGUCUUCAUUCUCCUAUAGGCAAUUAUAAAGAGAUGUGCAAACUUUUUUGCCAUACUGCAAGCAACAAUUUUAGAUUAUCUUCUUUAAGAACUUUCUCCUUAUAUUUCCUGGAAGUAAACUAGUCAACUUUAGAUCAGCUUCCAUACUUAUUCGCAUCCAAACAUCUACAAUGAGAAAGAGCAAAGGCUUUAAUUAGGUUCAUCAGAAUUUGUUCCUUUGUUUUAAAGGAUUAUAUCUAUGAACCAUUAUAUGACUGAAAUGAAACAUGAUCACUAACUCAGGGGAAUGCAUUCACUUGUCUUUCUUGAUCUGCUUGACAGUGGUGGGAGAAAAGUGAUUGGACCGGGUACAAGGAGUUAGGUACGUAUUUACUUAGAGUUUAGUAACUUCUGCCAAUGAAUUCAUUAGAUCAAACCAAAAUAUGCUUGAUUUUAGUUGAUGUACGUCCAUCAAAUUUGCUCAAUAAAUUUUGCUUCUGACUUCUUUUAGGACAUUGUCAAACAUGUCUCUUUUCAUCUAUAUCUUUAUCCUAGGUGCUGAGAAAUCUGGAAAAAAUGCUGAAGGAGAUUCAUGGUGGGAAACAUGGCAAGAAGUUCUGUACCAAGAUGAAUGGAGGUAGAAUCUCUAACAGCAUUGCUUUGAUAAACUAAUAUUUGUUCUUCUCUGUGUGCACAGUACGAAAAAUACAGAAAUACAUUCUCUGAUAACAAUUAGAAAGUUUGAAAAACUAAGUGUCAGUUAAUGAAGUGACAAUUAUAAACUAGGAGUGUGAUGUGAAAUGAGCAGAGCAAAUAAUAUUUGAAAAGAAUUCAAGUCAUUCAUAUAAAAUUACAUUUUCUUAUAAAAGUUCACUUACAUCCUUGAGGCCAGUUAUAGUCACUUUGGUAAAGCAGAAAAAGGUGACUUAAAUCCUCACCAAUAAUUCAGAUGAGGCUGCUCAUAUCCUUGAGGUUAACUUGUACCACUUGGCUGAGGUUUAUAUAUAUCUGCACCAAUAAUUCGAAUAAGACCAAAUAAAUCAUUUAGCUAGACCUCCACACAUAUAUUGUCAAUAGUUCAAUCUCCACUGGGGCCAAAUAUACUACCUUGCUGGAGCUCCAUAUGUAUUUGCAAUAUUGAUGUUUUAUAUUUUUGAUUUGGCAAUAAAUUACAAAUUCUGUAGGAAUAUUCAUUAGAAAGCUUCAAUGCAAAAUAAAGUAAAAAAGUUUUAACCAGCAACAUAUUUUUAACUCAGAACACAUGCAUACAAAUUCAAAUAUGUCUAUUGAAAUGAUCUAUUAACAUGUAAUUUUGGUAGAUUGUGCAUAUAAAUCAAGAAUUUUUUGUGAAAUAUAUGAUAUCUAAUUUAGAAAAUUGUGUCUAAUUAUCUAAUGAUGCUCCCACCUUUUUUAAGAAAACUGUGUUAAAUUUUUAAUUAAUGUUGAAUGCAGAAUUUUUUAAAAUAAGUAUAUGUUAAAUAUUCAAGUUUUUAUUGGGGUUUUGUAGAUUGGCCCCAUGGAAUCUAUAUAUAAAUAGACAACCCUAAUGGAUGCAUUGUGGUUACGAUUUUAAUUUGUGCUAAUUUUGGCACGAACCUAAAUAUUUUAAAAGAUAUAGCCUCAAUGGAAAAAAAAGAUUGAUAGGGCUAUGGAUUGACCUCUACUUGACAACAUAUCUAAAAUCCAACCCAAAUAGACAUCAUCUCUGGGUUAUUAGCAGAUUUUUUUGGGUAAUUGGCAUAUUCAAGCUAUGGAAAGGUUUUAUGUACAAUACAAAUCCCAAAAACCCAUUGGAAUUAAUCCAAGGUUCAUGCUUUUGGCCGUGGGUAUGGUGUUCUUACAAGAAGAAAUGAACCUAACAAGUUGUCCAUAUUCAUGAAUUUCAAAAUUAAAUGAUUUUGGUAUCCAGCUAUACAAAAGACAAAAAGAGAUUCAUUGGCAGGAGCAGUGCCUGACUAUAAAUGAGUGAUUUGGCCCCAAUCCUCAUCAAUUUCUUAUCACUUGUGGCUCAAUCUUGCAAAUCCCUGCUAUUCCAAUAUCCCCUCUCCCAACUUGAAAUGAGUAGUAAUGGAAAAAGUGAAAAUGACUUCAAGUUUGGUUCUGAGCAGCAUGAGACCAAUUUGGGCUCUUUCUUGCUGGUUCACCUAGGAACUGGUUCUGUGGGGUAGCUGGUGCUUUUCCCGGUUAGUAUGAUACAUAAAGGCUGGUAAGUUCUGGUACACUCAUGAGUAACUCCAUGGUUUCAUGUUUGUAUAACUGCCAAAAUUAUUAGUUAAGUGCAAUUAUAAUUAUGCUUGUGUAAUUAUCAAACAUUAUUAGGCAAUCUAAUUAUUGCAGCUUAUGGUAAGUUUUGCAUAUUUCAAUCAUAUAGUGUAGUUCACUUCAAAGAUAGUAUGCAUGUCGAUUGAAAUGCAAAAUCCCAGUAUGAUGCCAUAUGUUAGCAAUAUUUUAGGAUUCAAGAUUUUUGGGCCACUUAAAUAUUAUCCUUACCAAAUUCAAUAUAAUAACCAAGUCUGCACCUAUAAUCCACAUUCACAUCCUUUAAUUGGAUUUCUUUCACAUGAUUUAUCUUUCUAGAUUUUUGACUAGUAAGGAUAUCUGUGAAGCUUAUGCUUUCUAGUUUGAGGCUGAUACCUCAGCUUUGAGGCUGAAACUUCACCUUAAUCCACAUGUCUAGAUAUUAGUUAUACAAGCUAGUAUAGCUUGUAGUCUUUGGUCCUUUAUAUGGAGAGGGUAAAUUAUACAAGCUUGUAUUGUAGUCUUUUGGUCCUCUAUAUGAGGAAGCUACAGAACAUGAUUUUUUGUUUCUUUUUUUGGUACAACAGAACAUGAGUUAGUUGAGUACAGAUGAAUCCAGUUUUGCCACCAUGUAGUUAUCCUGAUCCAAUACUAUUACUAGCCAGUUAAACCCAAAAGCUUAAGAUAACAAGGAAAGGGCCAAAAAUUGGGCUAACAACCCCCCCUCGUGUGGUCUGGAUCAAGCACUUGGAGGGAUAGUUGAGUCAAGCAAGGUUUGCCAAGCCAGUGUCAAGGCUUGUAUCAACAAACGAUUGGUUUAGUAUGGUACCGGUGUGUACUGUAUCAAACCAAGAUGUACUAAAACUAAUGGGAGGGAGAGGGAGAGGGAGAGGGAGAGAGAGAAGGAGAAGGAGAGGGGGUGAGAGAGAGUGAGAGAGAGGGGAGAGAGGCAUACCUCAUUGGUGGCGAUGAUAGAACCCUAACCGUAGCCAUGGAGUCAUCAUCAUUGUGGAAUCCUAAUCCUAGACGCCGUUGUUAUCAUUGAGCCAUCAUCUUCCUGGAGCAUCAGGCGAGAGGGGAGGGGGGAAGGAAAAUCGAGAGAGGAGAACCGAGAGAGGGGGAUAGAAAAAUCAAGGAGAGGGAAAGGAUCGGGACUUCGGGAGGGGUUUUUGUAAAAAUAUCAGUUCAGUUCUAGAAGCAGAUUGACUGGCCAUACUAUGUUCUGAUAACCAACAGAUCUGAUUCAGUACACACCGAAUCGCUCAAUUCAGGAUGCUUCAACGGCCCUUGAAGUCGACCAAAAUCUUAAACUGAGUAAAGGGUUAACAAUUUAUGUAAGGCUAAUAAAUACCCAAUAACAUUGUCAAAUAGAAACAAUUUUAAUAAUAAAAAAAAUAUUUUUCUCUAUGUUAUUAUCUCCCCUUCUGUUGUUUUUCCUUUUUUGGCACUUCCUUCCCAUAUGGCAUGAUCACCCUACAAGAUAACAGGAUUAUGGGGAACAAUAUGAACUUUUGAUGGGUGGAGGCCCUUUGGUGCCCUCACUCUAGGAAAGAUUGUUGAUGGUUUGAUGAAAGCCUUAAGAGAACCACUAUAUAGCAGCUUGGGAAACAAAAAAUCACCGCUGAACCUAGAUCGACUAGAAUACGCUUUACAGACUUCCUGUUAAGGAUUCCUUCAAGGUACAAAAGGCGGUUGUGCUCAUUGGAAUCCAGUAAGAAAUCAUCUUCUUCAAAGGAAAUGGUAUCCACUUCAUAAGUGGCUCGUCCCACAAUGUGGAUCUCCAUAGCAUGAGCCUCGUACAAUUCAAGAUUCUAUAAAGCCUUGAUGAGGGAUUCCCAUAUAUCCUUGAAGAGCAUUAAAGCGUUAUACACACUGAGAGAAAAAUGAUUAUUGUUUAUGCUCGACUAGCAAGCAGGUAUUCUAAAUGGUUAUUGUUUAUGCUCGUAUAGCAAAAAAAUGAUUCAUUCGGAGGGCCAUGAGAAAUCCUUCGAAAGGUUUUCGCUUCGUCAGCAAAGCCUCAAAGCCCCUUCGCUAUUCCGCACUCGUAACCUAUUUUGUUCUGUCUCGUACUCUAUUUAUUUGCUUUUCUAGUGCUAUUUUCCUUGUUCAAGCUGGUAUGAAGUAAGUGAAGUGGUGAAUUGGCCAUAAGAGUUGCUUAUGCAGGGAUAGGGGGGCUCGAAAAAGUCUUUCCACUGCUCUUCCUGGUUUGUUCCAGUGUUCUAGGUUCAAGCUCAAGUGCAAGAUUCACUGGCUAGUUACUUCUUCACUUAACUCCGCUAUCAAACUAGGGUAUGUAAUACCGUAGGCACUUAGCUGCAUUAUUGGGCUUGUCUUCAUUGGAUUGGCAUCACGCUAGGCCCCUUAUCUAAGAGAAAAUAGGGCAGACAAUCUACUUGAAUGGACAUCUGAGAUGGCAUCAAUCCGAGCACAAAACAGAUCUGGGCUUCUAGUAAGGAGGACUGUGAAGCCUUCUAGCACAGGUAAUGCCUUCUCAAGUUCUGGUCUCUUCGGUACGGGUACAGGCUUUGAGAAUACGGCCUUUGCCUUUGAUUUUGCGGAAUAACAGUGGGUGCAUUUCAAAAGACCAGAUCAACUAAACCAGGCUAUGAUUGCCGGAGGUGAACUCUUGGGGAAGAUCAGCUUGUUAUCCCUAGAGUCACUUCGAUCCAUUGAGUGAUGGUCCUUCCACUCGGCACUGUCGGAUCGCUAAGGCCAACUUUCGUCUUUGCUCGAUGGGUGGGUCUUGUAGUCAAGCUCCUUUCUGCCUUUGCAUUUGAGGGCCAAUCUCCGUCCGACCGAGAUGCAAGGAAUGAGUAAGCUACUGAAGUCUAACUUUGCUAGACUUGUUUGCUAGUGCAGAAUAAGUUCAGCAUUUGAACAUUGUGUUCAUUCAGAAUCUGGCUGCUCCCAGAAGGUUCUAUAUUUCAGUGGCAAGUGAUGAUGCCUCUAUAAGAUGGGUUUUUCUUGGUAAUUCCCACAUAAAGGUUGAGGAAGGUUUCUCUUUUCCUCAAUAAUUAUUUCGGGUCCGAUUUCUUGAGAUUUUAAAACAGUACAAAAAUCAUGUCAAAGUUUAUCAGCAGCUUGUGCCACUAAUUAUCUUAAGAAUUCCUGUCUGAUUUCUUAAAAUACAAAUUCCUGUGAUGUAUAAACAAAGAAAUUUUGUUUCUUAUUUCCAAAUUCUACUAAAGUUGCAUCCAUAAGAUGAUAUUGAUGAUUAAUCUUUUCAAUGUAGAAUUAGGCUGGACUUUUGAGAAUUAUGGCUAAUUUAGUUUUAAUUCCACCACCUCUCCCAUAGCUUAGUUUACAUCUUAAACUUUAUUUAAUAAUUAUUUUUGUAAUUCUAAUAUAUUAUUUUAUAAUCAUUAAUUUGUAUUAGAAUGUGCAUUUUAUGCAUUUCAUGUUUCAGUCAAUUCCCACUUUGAACUAGAAAGACAGCAACCAAAGAAAACAUCAUCUCAAAUUCUUCAUAACCUUUCAUACUUCGAUCGAUUGCACUUGAUCCAGAGGCCAAUGAUUCAAGUCUUGGCGGAACAUCCUUCAAGACACUGGGAUGGGGUACCAUCCCGUAUGUUGAGACAAGGCCGUUCCACCAAUAUCCUAGUGUCCUGUUCGGGACAUCUUGGGACAUCCUUUGUCCCAAAUGUUGGGAUGGGGUAGGACGACAGUGCAUCUCAUUCCAUGAAAAAAUUGGAACAAUCCUGUCCUAUGGGAUUUAAAACCUUGCCUGAGGCAUUCUUAUUCUUAAGCUGUGUUAGAAUGAUCUUAUGUCAUGCAAAUUGCUGAAGACUAGUUGUGAAUUGCACCUUGCUACUCAAUUUUUGGAAGAAAAAGGGGUUAUGCUUUAACUCAAUCUUGCAGGCCUUUACAAAUAAUUUUUGAUUUUGAUACCAAAAUUUUUUUGGAGGAAUAUUUUCUUUGCCAUGUAUUAUGAGACUUCGAUUUUACCAUGAUAUGUAAGCACAUGAAAUGCUAGAUGCUUUUUGCUAGGUUCUCAAGUUAAUUCCAGUGAAGUGCUAUUGCCUGUUCAUACUGAGCUAUAAUCAUGCUGUCAUCCUGAUUGCAGUAACCUUGCAAGAAUAGAGAGGAGUGCACAGAAGCAAGCAAAAUCAGGCACAGAAAAUGCUGGAUGGUAUGAGAACUGGUAAGAACUAUCUCAAGUGUGUGAUUAUAACAUGCAUCUUCAGAUUCAGUUUGUCACUGAAUGGUUGUAAAGUCCAAGUAUUUUACUUUGCUUCUAGGUGGGAAAAAUAUGAUGCAAAAGGUUCAACAGAGAAAAAAGCCUAUAAGUAUGGAAGACUGGAUGAGCAGUCCUGGUGGGAAAAGUGGGGAGAAUAUUAUGAUGGAAGAGGCUUUGUAGCUAAAUGGUUUGCUCAUUUUUCUACCUCCUGCAUAUUGGAUAAAAAUUCUUUGUGGCAAUGCUUUAGUGUUGAAACUUGAAACCUGUUCUGUGAUCAUGAAGUAUCAAUAGUUCUAUAAAUGGCCAUAAUUUAUAUAUUUUAAAUAUUCCAUUCCAGAUCAAACUAAUUUUUCCUUUUCAUAUUCAAGUAUAUACAUUCAAUAGAUUGAGAUUUGAGACCGCUUUGUCUUUAAAAUUGUAUUCAUUCUUAGGGGACUUAAUAAAUGGUAACCAUGUAAUUCCAUUUAUUAUUUUAAUAAAUGGCCCUCCUUUACCCUUGAAAAAAAGAAAUUGCAUCCAGUUAGGUUUUUGGAGAGCAUUUCAAAUAUAUGAAAAUGGCUUGUCACGCAGGGGGGAGUUAUAUGGAAGUGUCCUCAACCAUAUGGUACACGAGUGGAUAGAAGAGAGUAAAAAAUAAUAUGAUGGAAGCACAUGGUUCAGAUUUUGGGUUUUAACUUAUAGUGAAAUAUGAGCUAAUUAAGAGAAAUUCAAAUAAUUCACAGAUUGUAUAUUGUGCCUGUAAACUGGAAAGUUCCAUUUUUGUGACCUUAAUAAUAAAAAUCUUUUUGUUGGAUAAAUAGUAUUAUCUUUUGUAUUUCUGACAAGAUAUUUGGACUUGAUAAAUUAUGUGUUAGGAGAUCAUCUUCCUAGAUGUUCUACAGAUCUAAAUUUUAUUUCCAGAUCUGCGGCUUAGUAUUUCUCUUUUUUUCACAGGACCGAUAAAUGGGCAGAAACUGAGUUAGGUACCAAAUGGGGAGACAAAUGGGAGGAGAGGUUUUUUGCUGGAAUAGGGUCACGACAAGGGGAGACAUGGCAUGUAUCUCCUACCGGUGAACGUAUGUUUGGUCCUUUAUUAUUAUUUGGUCAUAUAAACCCUUGUGCUUCAUAUUCAACCAUGCAGUGUUAUGCUGUGAACGCAACUCUUUGACAUUCAAUGAGUAAAAUCAUGUUUUAAUGAGCAUCAUAGAUCUUUGUAUCUCCAAAAUUCAUAGUUACUCAGAUACUUUAUGACAUUUCCUUGAAUCCUUGUAGUGCUUGGAAAUGGCUUCUAUUUAUUUGAGAACCAUUUCUUUUUAUCAUUAAACAAUUGGAAUUGGAAAGUAACAAUUGACUAAUUAAUAACCUCUCAAUCUGAACACUAGACACUUUUUCAAACAUGAAAAUGUGUCAAUCUAAAUGUGGAACUACAGAUUGUCAUGUACAUACUUUAAGAGAGAGAGCCUCCCAGACUAAAUACAUAAACAUAUGGUACACCCAAAACCCUACCUUAUCUUCCCCUUUUUCCUCUUUAAUUUUUCAUCUUCCAUCUAAACUCUUUCCAAGUCAGGGAGGUUUCAAAGUGAUGCUCCUUGAUUGCUUGAGCUCAAACUACAAUCAUUGAAGUAACCAUGUCUAAUAACUAGCCUUUUAAGUUUCAUGGCAGUUCCCCUCUGUUGCCCAGACAGACUUAAGGUAGAAAUUUGAUGCCAUUCUUAGAGGGUUUGCAUUAGGUUGACAAUGGUUGCCCAGAUAUACUAAUUGUCCUUGGGCCCUUCUUGACUUCAACUUGCCACAUCGUCAAUACCAGUUUGAUAGAAGAAGGUUUGAGUUAACUUGCAACAUUCACAUUUCAUAAUCAUGUAAUAUUUGGUUUUUCAUGGCUUUAGAACUUAUUACCACCCACAAACCCCUCUUAUUGCAGUUUGGGUGAUUAACAGUGUUUUUGUGGUUUUUUCAAUCUUCAUCCUUUCUCAUUUUCUUGUUUAUGUCACCCAGACAUCUAUAUACCAUUCUGUUCUAAUUGAAAUUUUUUUUUGUUAGGAUUUCUAGUCAAGGAUGAUUUUCCAUAUUUCUUAUUCAGGCCUUUAUAAGGAGAAAAUACAGAAGAAUAAACAUAGAUUGGACGAACAAACAUACCAAGCUAGAAGCCAGCCUUUUUUUGAUUGUCUCUCUUCCUUUUUGACAGUCCCUAUUAGGACCCCAUCUUAAGAAAUAGGUGAAUAACUUCUAUAUAUUUGCAAAGCAAGGGUCUGUCUCUUUUAUUUUCAUAGUAGGAGCACCAAGUCUCCUUUUGAGAAGGGCUCUAUGAUUAUCCAAUAAUGUAAAUUCUAUACCAAAUGCUGGUUACAUCACCUAUAAUUCAUAAAUGAGUUAUUUAAAUAAACACUUGUCAUUAUGUGCAUUUAUUAAAGAGAGAUUUUAUUGAUCCAAAGUGUGUCAAAAUGGCUUGUGGUGGUGUGAAAGUGAUCAAGCAUAAUUCCUAUCAUGUUUCCUGAGAUUACCUCUAAUCUGUAAUAGUCUUUGCUUCUUUUUGUUCACUGAUUUUACUAAGAUAAGACUCAAGUAUUUUGAUCUCAUCAAACUUCUAUGCAGUAUCCUGGUUCUUCUUCGCUACUUAACCAAGCCCAUCCCAUUGAUAGUUUGUCCUCCAAGUCCUCUCAAAUCAAAUUUGUUGGUCCCAUUUUUUGAUUGCUUUAAUCAGUUCUUUAAAAUCCUUAAAUCCAUUGUUCCUACAAUAAUAAGCUUUGAAAUCUUUUCAUAACCCAAAACCUUCUAACCCCCCAUGGCAUUAAGCUUCUUGUUGCAGGAGUGUUUUGCAAUUUCUAUUGCAUUUAAUGAUCCAAAAUUUGAUAGUUUUGGUUCUUACUUUGAAGUCAUUAGAGUUUUCCUUAAUUUGUUUGGAGAGAUCAAUAAUAGCCAAUCCAGGCUGUUUUGUGAGAUCUUCAAGUCCUUUAAAAGGACCAAAGGGAUCUAAUUAAUAAGUUACAGGAUUGUUCACUUUGCUUAUCACUAUAGUGUGAACAAUGAUGCUGUAGUAUUGUGGUAUAGGUAGGAGUUGAUAAGUUAUCUAGUUAAUGGGAUUUUAAUCCUUUACUUAGGUCAUUUCAUAUUACAGGCCAUCCGUAAUUGGUUUUGCAUCACUUCUGUAUAAAUUAUCCUCUUAAUAUGUUCUUUGAAGCAUAAGUGUGAAUUGUUAGUUUCCUUGUCCUUACUUUUGCCCAGCUUCUAUUGAAGCCUCCUUCAACUAUGGCCAAUAAUAAUAAGCUUAGGCCAACGCAAACCCAAUGGUCCGAGCUGACCUGGGGCUAAGCUAGGCUGAGUGUCAUGGCCUAUGGUCUGGACCUGGGCUUUUAAUUUGGGGCCUACAGAGAGCCCUUGAGCUUCAUCUGGGCAAGUCUGAAACCAACUUGUAACCCAUAAUUCCUUUGCUUAACCUUGCUUCCUCUUUUCUCUCAUACAUAUGCACCCCCCUCUCUUUUCUUUCUCAAUAUUCAAAUCCUAGCUGUCUUGCUGCCAUUGCACCCUCACUAAUGGCCACCUUCGCCUCUCUGGUGGUGGCGGCUCUGGUGCCGGUGCCAUUGUGAAGUUGGUCAAUGUCGUUGUAGUCCACUUGGAGGCAAUGGCCUUUAGCACCUCAGUGUCCCCCGAUUUGUCCAAAGUGAAUUUCAAUACCACUAAAACUAGCCUCCAUCUCCAUGGUCUUCCACAUUGGUGGCCCCAAAGGUUGAUGAGCAGUGGAUGGGAGGAAAGGAAGCAGUCAUUGGUGGAGAGGAUGAGCAGUGAGUAGCAAGUACAAACGACAAUUACCAGAGGGGAGGCCAUAGUGGCUGCAAGCUGUGUAGGGGAGCCUAUGUCGGGCAAGAGAUGGAGGUGAGUUUGAUAAUAUUUACCCAUUUUCUUAAUAUGGUGAGAGUUUAGGUGUUGGGUCCAUGGUCCAUUGGUUGAAUGCAGUUUGGAGGCUGAUGUUUUUGCCUUUAAGCUGUGCCACAACUAGGCCCUUUUUUAUCACAUUAUGUGGGUGUGUGUUGGGCCUCGGCUAAUUAUCAAAGUGACAAGACAAGCCCAGGCUUGAGGUGGGCUAGAUUAAGCUCGGUCCAUUAACAGCCCUACCUUCAACAAAUAGAUUCUAGUCCCUUUCCCUCUCAGCAUGUGGCCUUGGAAGACUGCAUUUCUACAAUUUGAUUAUCCCAAAUAGCAUUAUCAGUCUUAAUUUGUAUUUCUGAUCAGUUGUUAUAUGUUUCUCUCCUUUAUUUUCAUCUGGACUUUCCUCAUAUUGCUUUCACAGCCGCACCACUUUGUAUAACUGCUACUUGUGGAAUCAAGUGAACUGAGUGAUAUAUGAUUAUUUUACAUUGUGGAACACGUUCAACCCCAUUUAGAAUGUAUACCAUGUAUCGAAAUCUUGCUUAUUACUACCGCUAUAACAGUAAUCCCAUAGCUUGAAGUGGCACCCAACCAAAUGAUAUAUUCUUUCUUUUCUUUAUAGGAAUCAAUUUAAUCUUUUACUGAAUAAAUACAAUAACAACCGAUAAAAAUUUAAGUGCCCGUAUACUAGAGCUGAUAUGUAAAGAAACUAAGGAAGCAUCUAAAUUGUCACUGUUGUCACUUAUCAUGAUUAUCAUAUUCAAGAAACCCUAAUGUUUGCAGGUCUAUAUAGUAGAUACUUUGCCUACUAUGGUGUACCAUAUAGUGUUAUAACAUUAAUAGCUCUUCUUUUUAUUCAAUCUUGUAUCUUGAUCUUGAUCAUUUCUUCCUAGAUCUUUGAGUUCAAAAUUCUCUUCCAUUUAUAUCACAACAACUGUUUGGAACCUGAUAAUCUAGACCAAGCCACCAUAGUGACUGUGUCACCUGUUGGUCGACCGUCCAACUCGCCCUCUUACAAAUCUAUGUACAUAUACGGGGUGUGAACCAACCCCCUGUUGGUUUCUCAACCUCCAAAGACAUUAUCUUAGUGCCUUCUUUCAAGGUUGGCUGUGCUGCCUCUGUUUUCUCACCAGAUCCCCACCUCAUGUCGAAUUCUACUACUACUAGUCAGAUCUCUGCUUCCUCGUGUCAAAUUUUAUCAGAACUCCACUUUUCACUGGAUUCCCAUCGCCCCUCACUGGAUGUCCUCCUCCAUCAUAUUGGAACUCCAUGGCUUGCUCUUGAUCUCCUUGCCUUGAUUCUCACUUGUAGUCUCUGUUUUCAUUGGAUCCCGCUACCUUCGGAUGCUUCCACAGUUUCAUGGGACAGCAGGCAAACAGUGAGGAAGGAGAAUGACAAGGCAGAGAGAGGAGAGUUUUAGCCUUUUAGGGAAUGAAAUGGAGAGAGAGAGAGGAGGGAGGAGGGGAGAGGAGGGAUCGUCGUCCUUUCCUACUUUUUCUUUUUUUUAGUUUGGUANNNNNNNNNNNNNNNNNNNNGAAGAGGAGAGAGAGAGAGAGGAGAGGGGGGAGAGAGGGAUCGUGCCUUUCCACUUUCUUUUUUUAUUUGGAUGGCCCAGAUGGCUAGAUAUUGGUUUGACUCGUUUAGGUCAAAGUAAGUCAACUAUUGGACCGACAUGGUCACUUAAUUCUAUGGGAAUUCCAGUUUACUAUGUGACCCAACCAGCCAGCAUUUUCAGGUGAUGGGUUAGGCAAGUCGACUUGCCUAACCCAUUCUGGGUCACAAAACAUUGAUCAUAACUGAACUUCAUUUAUCAAUUUUAUUUUUUCCUUAUCUCAUUUGGAAGACAUCAUGCCGUAACCUUCACCAUCUUUUCCUAUAAAUGAAACUAAUUGCAUAUGCUCAUAUGGAGGAAGCAAGGGAGAAAGCAAUAUACCAGUCUUUCUUUGCCUUGAAGUCAAAUAUUUUGAAAUUAAUACCAAAUCUUGUUGAACUUCUAAAGAGUUCCAACACAUAUUGGCCUUCCAUUAUGUGCAAAGAUAAUUUAUUUGUUUACUUUUCUUCUUGUAGAACUCCGACCCAAGGACUAAAAAUUCAUCAUGACAUUGUACCUUGCAUUGUUCAUGAAAGAAGGCUUUCCUGUGUUGAUUAUUUUCAUUCCAUCCUGUUUUUGUUAUUAUCAAUCGUUUUUGAAAAUCAUGGGUUUUUAUUGCAGUGGUGUGUAGUAGUUCUUGUUGCAUGAGAUGUCCUUCACAGUUCUGCCCACAGCCAAUGUUGAAUGUCUUUGGACUAUCUUCAUCCAACUGAUUGGAGGCUCCCAACACUUCCAUAUCAAAACUGGUUCUCCUAAAGUCUAAGCUCUAAUAUGCCUUCUGGGAUGCUUAUGGCUCUCAAACUACAAAUGUCUGUCAUAAAUUCAGAACUCUAAUCCAUCCCUUGGAUUCUUCCAGUGGUAGAUGAAGUGAAGACAUAUUUCAGUAAUAGUUUGGCAACUGAGUACAACUAAACAAGGUAGAGGACAUAAGAUGUACAUUAUUGACCAAGAUGCCUGAUUCCAUGGUGGAGGAAUGAAACAUUAGCAUACAUGAUGGGAGAAUGAAACAUUGGUAUUUCCUAAUAUUGUUAAGAAGAAUCACUUCCCCCCCCCUUCAUUGUCAGUCGACCCUCUGUGUUUGAGAAACACACAUAUGAUACAGGCAACAUACCCAUGAGCAUGAGACUGGAACACUUUUACCCCUGUUCACCCCUCUUUUACAACAGAAAAACCUAGCUAAACCAACUCAAGAGAGUCAACUAAAUAUGAGAAUCCAUCUACUAUCUCUUAAUUACUGUAAUUCAAGAGUUGAAUGGACAUCUUCCACAUGCCUGAUGGACAUAUUAGCCCGCAAUAUAAAGGAUUGCACUUUUUUAUCUUGCAAGUAUGCUUGCUCUUCAAAAAGGUGAUUAUGCAACAUAUUACACAAUCAAUCGUGAAGUUCUAUUAUUAGAUAUGAAUAUAUAAUGCUGUUACAAAAAAGUUGAAACCAGAAUACUGUGGUCCUGUUGUGGUGCCUGUUAAGAACUUACAUUUCAAAUUGUUUCCACCCAUUGAGUGGUUCUCAUUUUGUUUGUUUCAUUUGUAUGAUCGGUAUCUUGAUCUUCUAACCAUUCAUCUUGAACCUUUUUUUUUUCUGUUCUAAUGCCAUUAUAAAGUAGUUGAAACCAGAAUAUUGUGGUCCUGUUGUGGUGCCUAUUAAGAACUUACAUUCAAAUUGUUUCCACCCACUGAAUAGCUUUUAUUUUGUUUACUUCAUUUGUAUGAUCAGUAUCUUGAUCUUCUAACCAUGCCUCUUGAACUUAUUUUUUUUUGUUCCUUAUUUUUCAAGGUUGGUCAAGAACUUGGGGCGAAGAACACUUUGGAAAUGGGUAUAUGCCCAAGAUACGUUAUUAUGUUACUUUUGUUUAUGUUUUGCAACAUUUAUGGUGGCUAAUAUAUUUUGAGAACCUCUUUAUAUCUUUGCUAAGCUACCAUCAAAAUCCAAUUCUGCCAGGAGAUAACUUGAUUUAGGCUUUUAAUGAACCUCCGCUUUAAUAGACGGAACUGUGCAUUCAUAACUUAUAAUGAUUUACUGAUUAAUGUCAACAAACGGAACUGCAUCAUGCUUAGUCUUAUGAUUUGAUUUCACGUAAGUGAUUAUCAAAUUUGUUCUGGCAGUGAUUGUUUAAAGUUUAAUAUAUAUAUAUGGAUGUUGUAAAGCUAAAUAUAUUUCUUGCUUUCUAGUUGCUCACUGCAGGAACCUAUUUUCGUCGGAGAAGAUUGAAAUAUUCAAGCCUCAUCCCAGUUUGUUUGGAGUUGGCUCCAUAAAUUUUGCCCCAUAAUAAUAAAGAGAGAACAUUAAAGAAUGAAAAAACAUACAAUACCAUUAGCUUAUCUGACAACUUUAUGGUAUUGCUUUAUAAAACCAUCAAAACUCAUUAAAAUCUGUAAAUGUCUCCUUGGUGAAAACAGCUUAUAAUAGAGCAUGAAUGAUGAUUAAAUGUCACCGGAGCUGAUGUUAUAGAAAUUUUUAUGUAUGGCAGUUUUCCAUCGUUCUCUUGAUAGUGUGUAUCUCUAAUUAUAUAUGUUUCAACAAGAUUUUUCUAUUAUUAUGCAUGACACCAAUCAAAAUCAAUGUGUUGUCCAUUAAUAUGAAGAUUAACUUGAAGAGGAGGUUUGCAUGGUAACCUACUUCUGAGAGUUUAAUAAGCUUGAAGAAGUUGGGGCAAACUUUGUCUGAAAUUAGCAAGGUGAACCUGAAGUCUCUACAGGUCUUCAAAUUUUAGCUGCCAGCUGAGUGACAGUAAAAUACUUAUUCCUGAUAUACCGAAUGUCAAAUGAAUAUGAGUAGUGACACUUAAUAAUUUCACAUGAAAAACUUGCCGAUAUCUAUCAUGUAACUCAGCCAUUGGAUCUAUCUCUGACAGCCAGUACCUGAUGUGGCACAAUGUGCAAAUAUUUUGUGCCAAGACUUCCAUAUCAGUUGGGCAAAUUGUGUGUGAUAUAUCUGUUUUGCUUGUAGCAUUUGCAUAUUUUCCAACAGAUAUAUUUAGAUAUUUCGUCUCAUGGUUCCCAUUUUCUCUGUUAGAAUAGGUUGAUUCUUGAAUGAGUUAUCCAAACAAAGAUGAUGUCUUGACACCUGCAGCUUUUUAUGUUAGAGUUUCCUCAAAAAAAACUUUUGUGUUACAGGAAAGUACAUAAAUAUGGUAACAGCACAACAGGAGAAAGCUGGGAUAUUGUUGUCGAUGAAGAAACCUAUUAUGAGUAAGAUGACUCUUUAUAUAUUGCGGUAACUUUAAUCAUGCUAUGUGACAUCAGAUGUUUUUAUUAAAAUUUAGCUCAUGAUCUUGUGCUUUGCACAUGGUAGGUUUCAUUUGUUUUAUGAAACUGAUGUAAUAAUACUUUACUCUGGAAGGGCUGAGCCUCAUUAUGGAUGGGCGGAUGUUGUUGGCGACUCGACACAGUUGUUAUCUAUACAACCUCAAGAAAAGCCACCAGGUGGGUACAGUGGUCUUGAUUUUGGUUCAUUGCCGCCCGGAACAGACGAUCCACCAGAUACACCCUCCACCCCUCAAAAGUGAAGAGUUUGUUGUAGGUAGUCCUAUUUUUUUAUUGGACUCCAAUUUUGUGCUCAAAGACCUUUCUUGUAGAAAAAAUACACCAAAACUCAUUCUUCUGUUCAUCGGUUCGUUUAUUCGUUGACAUUUUCUUUGGUGGCGUUUCAUCAUUCUUAUUCUAUGUAACUGUUGGAGAUUUCCAUUGAUUUUUUCUUGCUAGAUCUUAAGAGCUAACAUGGUGUGGUUGAGUGUGAUCCUGUUUGGUGUAUUAUCCCAUGGAGAGAGCAUUUUUUCUGAAGAGUAUUACAUCAGACAUGGGACUGACGCCUAACAUUAAUCCAGCACGCCCAGUGAUCUGAUGCAUGUCAUGAGGGUCGAGUUCUGCUCGGGUCAGGGCAGCUUAGAUUGUUGUAAAUCAUGACAUGCGUUAGAAUCUCUGAGUGGUUUUUUCCCCGAACGUUAUUUGUUUGAAGGACUGAUUAAGUUGACCAUGUUAUGUUAGGUCUACCAAAGAUGGUCUUGCAAAAUAAAUUAGAUUAUGGGUCACAACUCAACUUGGGUUACGUCCCAUUCUCAGUUGCUUCAUAUUUCUAUUCCAUAAAAUAAAAUAAAAUAAAAUGAGUAAUAGGAUGAGGAAACGGAAAGUGGUGGCAAGUAAGAGCAAAAGUAAACUCCCUCUCCUCAUCAUCCAAUCGGUGAGACCUCUCUCUCUCUCUCUCUCUCUCUCGAGAGAGAGAGAGANNNNNNNNNNNNNNNNNNNNUCUCUCUCUCUCUCUCUCUCUCUAGAGAGAGAGAGAGUCAAACUAGAAUAAACCGAUCAUAUCUGGAAUUAGAUUCAUUUAUGUUAAAACUCUAUAAUGGACAUUUUAUUAGUGAUGAGUAAGAGAGAGAGAGAGAGAGAGAGAGUCUGAUUAGAAUAAAUCGAUCAUAUUUGGAAUUAGAUUCAUUUAUGUUAAAAUUCUAUAAUGAAGGUUCUAUAUUAAUGAGUAAAUUGUUGGAUGUGGUUUACUAUUUUAAAAUUAUAUAUAUAUAUAUAUAAUUAUUUGAUUUGGAGACCAUUAGUGACUCCUAAUUUAUAUAUUAAGUAAUUAAAAAUUAGAUUGUUUAAAUAAAAUUAAAUUAUAUAUAUUUUUUGAUCAUUUGAUGCGUUAAUUAGAGUCUUUAAAUUAUAUGAUUUUUUUGUGUAAAUAAUUUUGAGAUAGUAGAUUAUAUUCAAUGAUUUAGAUUUUCGAUAUAGAACUUUCAUUAUCUAUUUUUGAUCUUGUCAAAUCUAAAUUCAAAUCUGACCGAGCUUAUCCAAGUUAGCCGCUAUAUAUAUUAUCUACUUUUCAUCUUAUCAAAUCUAAGUCCAAAUUCGAUCGAUUUUAUCCAAAUUAGCAGAUAUAUAUAUAUAUAUAUAUAUAUAUAUAUNNNNNNNNNNNNNNNNNNNNACUACAAUAUAAAUGUAAAAUUAUUAUUAAUCAUUUAAUUUUUUAAUAAAAAAAUAUAUAUUAAAAUAUGUAAAAUUUAUUGAUUAUUUAAUUAUUAAGAUAGGAAAGUUUUGAAAAUACUCUAAAUAAAUUAUAUUUAUCUACUUUCUCUUAAAACAAUAAGGAAAUUGAUUAUUGAAAUGUAUACAACUUGCUUGAAGUAUUCUUUGCAUGCAACUUGAAAUAUUUUUUAUAAGCAUGAUGAAUCAUGAUAAUAAAAUAAUUUUAAAUUGUUUCUUAAUGAUUGAGUAGGUUUUAAUCUUCCAUAUGGUUGACGGUUCAAAUCUGCAUUCUAAUUUUACGGUGAAGCAAAAUGAAUAAAACGUAGUAAGCAAUCAUGGGACCAGAGCCGGGUUACAUUCUUUGAAAAAUGGGAAAAUUCUUAUGUUUGAAUGUGGCAAUUUGACACCAUCCAUGGUGCAGCACGCUGGACAGUGACUUAAAAGAAUAGUUUAGAUUUUGAAGAUGUUAUAGUUCACUUGAUUCAGGGAUUGUGAUAUGGCUGUGGAUUAGCUAGCAAGACAAUGUGGAGUCAUUUGUGGGGAUAUGGUUUCGGAUAGAGACUUUGUACUGAACAACUUCAUAUUUUGGCCAUCAACAUUGGCAAUUUCUGCUAAUUGAACAUUCCGUAGCCUUUAGAUUUGAUUUUCUGACUGAAUUGUCGAAAGAUUCUCAUCGGAGUCAAUUUCGAUCAGAACUUAUUUUGCAAGAACGCCGUUCUGAUGGUCUUCGAUUUAUUUCAGUCAUGUAUGUAGUUGGAAAUAUUUCAGUCGUGUCCGUACAUGAUCAAAAAUUUUUCAAAAAUUUUUGAUCACGUACGGAUAUGAUUGGAUUAAACCGGGGAUCACUGGAGCGGCAUUUCUGCAAAAUGAGUCUCGACUGGAGUUGGCUCCGAUGAAGAUCUUCUGACGAUCAAAUCAGAAAUCUGAUACAACAGUUAUCAUUUUUCACAUCAGAAAAGAAUCCUUUUAUCUCACACUUAAUCAUAAUAUAUAAAAAAAUUUAGAAAAUAAAACGAAGAGGUCAUCAUUUUAAUCAAUGGUAGUUUCAUUACUAGAUUGCUUGUAACAAGUCUUGCUAUUCUCUGUUUCAAGUAAAUUAUUACUUCUUGGUGUCCCCGUUCUUGUUAAGGGGUCAAUUCACAGAUUUUCCAGAAGCAUAUUGGUUUCCAGCAGCUUGACAAGAGUUAUAGGAAAGGUUUCUUGGCCUAGAGUUGACAGCAGACAUCUCGCAUCAUUACAGAUACACCCAUGUAGAAUCUAUGUCUAGAAAGCAUUUCCCGAUGGACACUCCUUGUAGAACAGCAAAUUUCUACUUGACUACAUCAACAUAUCUGAGAUUGUACCUGUCGACAUAGAUUUACCAAGGUAAAUCAGUAAACAGGUACAUAAUUUUUUUCGGUUCCAGCAAUACCAUAAAUAUUCCUGAUUCAACGGUCGCAAGCAUAUGUUGGCGGCGAUGAAAAUAUGAUUAAGGCCGAAAAAAUAUGAUCCAACUCAUCAAUCUAAUUUGUAUUCAAUCUACCGUAAAUAGGUUCGGAUUUAAGUUAAAUAGAUUCAGAUUAUAAACAGAUUGACUCAUUUAAUCUAUUUAAUAUUCAGAUCGAAUUGAAUCAGAUAAUUUAUUUAAUCUAUUUAAUCUGUUUAAUAUUUUUAAUUCGUUUAAAACUUGUUUAACUUAUUUCUGAUCCAUUUAAUUCGAUAUAUUCAAUCUAUUUAACCCAUUAGAAGCCUAUUUAACUUGUUUAAUCUGGUUAACUUAACUUGACCGGUUUAAUAAAUAAAUUAAGUGGGUUGGAUCGACUUGGAUCAUCUGUUUGAUAAAUAAAUCAAAUUUAUAUCUGAUUUUUUGACUUAUUUAAUAAAUAGAUCGGAUUCGGAUUGAUCAAUUUUUAAUCCGAUCUAUGUCAAUUCGAUCCAUAUUUGAUUUGAUCCAAUCCAAUUGUCAUUCCUAAACACAUUAUGCAUGUGUUUUACCAUGCUGGAGACAUGACAGCUCAUUUUUGAAUAAAUGAAUCAUACGACAGGCAGCACAUGCGCAGAGGGACAUAACAAGAUGCCAAUUAAGAAUAACACAAUUUUAGCAACACAAAUAGAGAUCCAUAAUUGCCAAAAUUUAUAAAUACUUGAUUAAUGUUCUUCAAACGUUUCUAAACAACCGCAAAUAAUCCAACCUCACUGCAACACUACAUCAAAUUUACAGACAAAUACGUAUGAAAGAAAAAGCAAAUCCAGACAAACAAAAUCACCAGCAAAUGACAGAUUUCCUUCUAACAGAAAAAUUGUUUCAGCAAUGUACAGAAAAGCUCUGCAGCAUCCAAGCAGAUCUAAAAAUGUUGCUCUGAUUCUGAGAUCAGGUGGACGAAGUACUGUACACUUCUAUAUACAGUGGCAUUGUGGCGCCUUUCCCUGUAAAGCAAAAACAUAAAGAAUAUCAUAUUAGCAAAAAAUAUAGACAAAAAAGAAAGAACAAAAAAAAAAAAGAAACUCGUAAUGACCAAGCCUUGAUAUUAGGAUCUAUUAUUUGGUCUAUCAUGGACUAGGAACAGGUGAAGAGACUUUUCUAACAUAAGAAGGAUUAAACAGCCUAUCAAUGAAAUAGAACUAUGAGCCUCUCAUGGUCCUCUAGAAAGGCCUAGAUAGAAGACUUAUUUCUAGUAGUGGGAUGCCACUUCGACAUGCAGAAAAAGUUUCCAUGAUUGGUCCUAUUCAAUGGGAAUAUAAAGAAUAUAAGCAUUGACACAUGAAAACCACACAAUGAAAGGAAAAAAUGGAAAUUUCAAGCUUCAUGUUCUCUAUCGUAUUCUCAUCUGCUUUGUCUUCUAUUUACCUUUUUCUCUGAUGAAAAAAGACCAUGCAAUAUGUUGAACAAUGGAGCAGUUGUAUGGAGAUUGGUUGCUUGAUGAGGCAAAGCUUUCAAAACACUAAAGAGAUCCAACAAAAGAAUGGGUCAAUGCAAUGCUCUCUUCAACAGCCAACUGACUUUUUUAGUCUGAAAACAUUUCUUGCAAGUCUGCAACUUCAGAUCUGAUGAAGAGGUUAUACUCCUGGUCUGUUCCAUUGAGUAAGCUCCCUAGAGGUGUAUUUUCUCCAUAAUCGAAGUCCCUCCAAUCUGACACCUCAUCACUAGAAAUAUUGUCUGUCGGCAUACUUCUAGUUGAAUUAGGCUUCCCAUUUUCAAUUCCAAUCUUUCGCUGAAAGUGAGAGGUAGCUGCCGAUUCUUCCUUGGAAUUUUCACAUAUACAUGUUGAAGGGUUUUCAUGAAAUUCUCCUCUACCAGGUCUAACCUCAUUGGGCUCUCCCAUGAAUCCCUUUUGAAAAGUGCGGACCUUUGAUGCAAACACUUCCCAGGUCAUGCUGGUUCGGUUCAGAAACACAGAGUACAGUUUCUUAGCAUUUGGUCUGAUGGUUCUCCUAUGUCCAAAAUAUCUCCUACAAAUUAUGGAACAUAUACAAUCAGGUCAAUGGAAUCAUUUUCCAUAUCCAAUGUAAGCACAAUGGAAAUGGAAACUUACCUCCGACCAGCCAACAUCCUAGCCAUGUUCCCAUUGUUGUUUGUUACAAAUACAUCACUGCCAUCACACACAAUGAAGUCAAGGGCAGCCAUGCGAGAUGAAAAUGCUGCAAAUGGUGCCAACUCCUCCAUGCUUGCUAAAGUUUCUUUUGAAUGAAAAUUAGGAAAGAGUGCCUUCAGAGGUGCCAAUGUCUCCUCUCCCCCAUAGACCUCACCGGAUGCCACAUAGAUGUGAACAUCUUUGCCAAAUCCCAAUGCUCUCAGCAUAAGGCCUACCUCUUCAGGUGUUAGUGGACAUUUCCCAUGCCUGCGUUCCUUGUCUGGGUUGCUUGUCUGCAGACAUAUUAUUAAAGUAACUAGUUUCAUCCAGAUAAAGAGGUAAUAAUUCUUGAAUAACACCACUGAAAAAGGAGUGCUGCUGCCUUACAUGUAAGGUUUUCCACCUCUUGCGCAUCACACCCAAUUCUGUCCUCUCCUUUUCUCCUCCUCCAUAAUAGCACCCAGAGAAGGCAAGCAUAUCAGGUUCAAAUCUGCCACAAUAGAAAUUUUCAUUUAUCACAUCUCAUUCUAUAUCGAGUCCUUGGCUGCAUGGAAUUUUUAGAGGACCUGAAUUGCAUAUGAAUACUAGUGGACCAAUAAAUAUCUGAAGAAAAAAACUUCUGCCACAAGUAACACCUCUAUUUUAAUAGUAAUGCAACUUGUAACACUAUUUUCUCAUUUCUCUAACAGAAUUGAGUAAUUUAGUACAUGCGCAUGUUGUCAUUUAGUUUAAAAAAAGAAAAAAACUUUUAUCAUACAAUCACCUGUCUGUCAUAGAUUUUGUAGAGCAAUUUCACGUAAUUUUUCACAGAAAAAAUAUCAUAAAGAUUGACAUCUAAGUGUAAGGGAACGAGUACAUGAUAUUGUCUGUAUGAAUGACUAAAAUGUCAGGUGGGGUAUGGUUCAUAAUUUUCUUCAAAACUGCAAUUCUUGACAGCAGAUGAUUCUUUUGAUUAUUAAUAGUAAAAUAUAUAAAAUUGAAAGAAUUGUCAAAAUGGAGGCAUAUAUAGUAGGAAAUGAAUAAAUGGAAGAAAAAGAAAAGUCAAGUGACAUAAAGGUGGAGGAAAGAUUCGUGGAGAAGCUUAUUUGAAGGUCUAGUAAAUUUUAGAAUCAGAAGGUUCCCUGUUUGCUAGCAAGGUUAGGAAAAAGGAAAGGUUGAUGGUAAAGAAAGUGCAAAAAAAAAACUUUCAAGUCUUACACUGGAAAAAAUAUGACAUAGUUGACUCAAAAAAUUCAACUUGCCUCAUUUAGCUAUCAGUUUUUACAAUAUCAAUGGAAAGGUGCAAGUAUGGCUCAGGUACCAGCAUUUGCAAGUGAAACUCGACAAACUAUAUAUCUUCAGAUUCUAGAAGAUCUUGUUGUGCUAAAACCUAAGAAGACUAGAGAAAGGACUAGGGCUAAAUAGAGAAUGAAAGGAGAAUCAGGCAAAUGAUGGAUUAAAUACUGUUUACAAUUAAUAUUCGUUGUAGGGAAUGGAAACAGGAUCAUAACCUGCGAAAUGGCCCCAAUAUCAUUGUGCAGCAAUCGCUGUUUCUAAGUUCAGAGCAGCUAAAUCAUUUGAAGAGCUAUGCCAUGAAUCUACAUUGAACUGCUAACUUAGGCCAACUUGUGAUCAUAUCAAAAGCUCACCUCAGGUGAAGGGCAAUAAAGUGCUUGCUUUUUGCCUUCAUUCUCUGAAUCAGCCUGUCACCCAUUUCCUGUAUAGGAUCUGUAAAUCUGAGGGCAUGAUAAUUAACUCUACAUCUCAGUUUUUGAAGAUCAAUCUCCAACUUGUUUGAAAGCCUGUAGUCGAACUUCGUUAACUGAACAAUCUGCAUCAUCACGAUAGAAAUAUAUUGGUUUUGCAUGUGUGCAUAGAUCCAAAAAAAAAGCAGGUAAUUCUUUACCAUAGGAUACAUAGAAGAAAUUGGGAAACCAUACAGUAGUGACUAAAUCUAACUCAAAGGAUUGAGAACAACAUCAAAGUAAAUCCUCAAUUACGAUAGCAUUGCAACAUGAAAAAAAAGGACAUUAAUCACAUAUAUUUGUAUUCUUGAUGUCUAUUUUUGUAUCUGAGGAGACCCUAUUUUUUGUAAUAAGACUUUCAAGUAAUGAAGAGUUGCACCUUUAGAAGUUUAGCAUAAUUGCUCAGCCUUAAUCAACAGCCUUAUUCCAUAUUACAAGGUUUUGAGUUUAUGGAACAGCAUGUGAUUCAAUAAAAUUGGAAAACCGCAUGAAGACUGGGUCUCAAUAAAUGUAAACUUUAACUACAAGUGAAAAAUAUAAACAGGUCCAAUGAACUAUCACUUCAAAUAAUCUUCGAUCAUAUUUAAACACGUACUCAAAAUCAGUUUGAGCAGAUAUUCUAAAUUGAAAAAGCUUUUCAAUCUCAUGAUUAUAUUUCCUAAUCUAACAUAACAUGGCACAUGUAAAACCUUAACACAAAAUAAGUUCAAUCAAACAUGUUCAGUAUAUUCUGGUAUACUGUUUCUUCAUAUGCUGCUCAAAAUUUUCUCACUCAAUUACUCAGACCUCCAAUGUCUGCAGAGAUCAGCUCAACAAUAAAACAUACAAUCAUGCCCAUUGCAAAUGAUAUAUAAGACCGGUCAUAACCCAUCCAGCAGGAUGAGGGUAUGCAUCUGACAGAAAUAGAAAAAUAGCCAGACCAUGUGGCCUAGUAUAUGCUCAUCCUACAAAAUUUCCAACAAGAAUAUAUCAUGCAUCAUCUACGAUGUUGGUUCAGCCUAUGUAAAAUAAGAUUUUAAGUAAACCACAGUAGCAUACUCAUAUGACAAAGUAUGAGUUGAGGCCAUGGGUGUAUCAAGUUUUCCACCAAAUUGAUACUAGUUUUUCAAGAUAACUUUUACAAAAAAAAUAUUCUGUUGGAAUCAUAGGGAAAAUAAUAAAAAAAUUGUGUCCAGUUGAUCAACCACCCCUCUCCUACUUAUCUGUUAUUGAUUUUUCUCUUCCAAACUCUAUUUCAACAAUCUCAAUUUGAUUGUUGAUUAAUCUCAAACUUUUCAGUCAAACUGUGUAUCUGCAAAUGGCUAUAUACUGAUACAAGAAAAGGUCCACCUUAUCUACUAAUUGAAAAGAAUAUCAUAAUGUUCAUAGAAAGCCUAAAUACUAUGGAUAAGAGAUGCCAGUUACAAUAAAUGACAAUAACUCAGUUCCAUUUAUGUUCUUGAUAGAAUGUUUUCUGCAAAAGAAAAAAAAACAAUUAUGCUCAUGAUAGGACAUCAUGCUAGCUGAGCUGGAAGAAGCUUGCCAUGGAGAAAAAUGUUGCCAUUAAAUUUGUAUAUAAUUGGAGAAAUGAAUCACAAGGUUUCGAAAUAAAAAUAACUAUUAGUAUCAUUCUUAAAUAACCGCAUCCCCUUGGGAUGCUUCCAUUGAAGUUAUUGGUGGAUCUAUCUCAUGCAAUUUACCAAACAGAAAGCCAACAUUAUGACAAUGCAACUAAUAGUAAAGAUUUGUUAGGUCUGAUACUUCAUUAAUCCAGAACAUGAGUAAAGAAAACAUAGUAUUUUAUAGAGAUACAUACAUACAGCUUGCAUUUUUACCUGUUUCUCAUAAUAAAGCUAAAAUAUUAGGAAGUCAAUGAAAUGGAUAUGACAAACUGACAUCAAAGAAACUAAAAGCAAGAAUCAAAAUUUGUAAACUCACAUGCUUUUUCAAAAGAACAGGUAAAACUCGAGUUUCAUAGCAUGUUGGUGCACACUUCCUCGGAACACGCAUUGUGUAAGGAGUUCCAAUUACUUUUCCACCCUUGUUUGGGAGCUGUUUUAUAAUUUUAACGUCCUUUGAGAGAGAGGAUAUGAACCAGUCAACAUCAAAGAUUUCAGCAAAAUCGCUGCACAAUAGAAUCAUAAACCACAUGCACAAAAUGUAAUCAGUGUACAUGUUUGAUGACUUGAUUUAUUAGUGCUUCAUUUUUUCAGAAGUUAGAAUGAACAGUAUUUGGAGCAAACCUGGCAUCCUUCCAGAAUGACUUCUGAUCCAGCUUAGGAACAAUAAGUGUCGCAUUCAAAAUGCGUGCUGCAACGACAGCAUCUGUUAUCUGAAACAACCAGAAGUAGCAGCAAAUUUUCCAUCAGUAAUCUUAUGCUCGAUAUUGACCAAAUGGAAGAGCAGAACAAGAACUAAACCAGAAUAUUUUCGUGAUGGCUAAUAUGAAAUAUAUGAGAUAUGAGAACCAUUUAGGACUCUAGCCAGUCCUCCAUUGUUACAUUGGCAUAAAGCAUAAAAUGUAGGACUGAUUAGUGCCCAACCUUGGAGACCAUCCCCAGUGUGAAUAGAUGAUCCAAGAGUGCCAGGGUUAACAAAAGGCAAAAGAUGGAUAAAGGAUCCAAGAGUAUCAACAAAGAUGAAUUGAUUUAUCUCAGAGCACCGCUUUCAAAUGAGAAGCAUGAGGCUGACGGUGUCCAAAAAUGUUUAGGAAAAUGGUUUGAAGCAAAGCACUCCUUGUUACCAGUAACCAUAAUGACUAAAUUUUGUGGCUCUUUUCCAUUAUUUGCCAAAAAUGGCAUUAUUGAGUUGCCUUCAAUGAAUUAUGAAUCAUUAAUGACUUAGUAAUAUCACAUAACUUGGUGAUGCAUUCAGAUGGAUUCCUAAGCAAAUGGAAAAGCAGGAAUGGGCACAAGUAUCUGCAAGUAGAAUUACUGCACACGAUCUGUCAUAGAACUGGGACUAGAAGAAUGGACUAAAAUGUUGACUCUGUCACGAAAGGACUCAGUGAUGCUGAACAGACUGAGAUUCAGAGCUUCUGAAAAAGAUGUGAUAAGAAGGCAUAAUAUAACGUUACUAUGUAAUGUGAGGCCAGAAGGCUUGUAACAUCAUACAGAGCACUUAAUGAUCAUGUUGGGGAAAGGAAUUAAGAUCAACUCAAAUCAAAUCUAUCCCUGAAUUUAACUUCAUGGGCAAGGCAGAUAUUGUGGCCACUUCCACAUUGGAGGAUCCUGGGAGGAUUGCUAGGAGAGCAACAUCAAAAAGAUGUCAGUAAAACAAGCAAGAAAGCAGCUAGCAACUACAAGAAAUAUGUUUCCCAUGAUUAUAGCACACUCUGCUGCGACUGUCUCAUAUCAAAACAGUGAUGGUGAUCAAUGUCUUCCUCUUUAAGCACCUCAAUAAUUCAAUCUAGGAUAGAGAUGGAAAUAUAUAUAUAUUUUUUAAAGGACAAGGAUGGUCUAGUGAUGUGGAGAAAUAAUUCAUAUUAUCAAACUGAAAAUACAAUCAGUAAUUCAAAGGCCAAGUUCCAACAAACUUAUCACAGAUCAUUCAACAAGGUCAAGUUCUUUCCCCAUACAAACUUCAAAGCCAUAGCUGGUUUGGUCAAAUAUCACCAAAGUUAUGGUCCCGACCAGACUAGUUUCAGUGAAAAGUUCAUAUGCAAUGCCAAUUGAAUCAAAACUAUCCCACAUAAAAUUCAAAAAAAAAAAAGGAAGAAACUGAAAGAAAUUUAUAAACGCUAGACAAAUAUCUCACCCCUGUUCGCUGCUGAUUUAAUCCUCCACUAGUUGCGAUCAUCAAAUACCGAUUGGGUUGAGUGAUGGCUUCCUCCUCUGUAAAAUAAAAGAAAAUAACCAACUUCAAUGAUGAGAAACAAACGCCAGUUUGCUUAGAAAGAAGUAUAAUCAAAAAGAAUAAAAAUAAAUCAAUGAUACGGUUUAAAACCAAAACCUCAACCAACACAAAUCAUAAACCUCAAAACCAUCAAUUUCCAAGUGAUCUGUGCAUUCCAUUACAUUUUUCCAGCAAAACAACACCAAACCAGAUUAAAAGCGAACACAUACUCGCAAACUCGCUGCUCGCAUUGCUACAUCCGUAGAAGUAUCUGGCCUGCUUCGAACCCCACAGAUCACUCACCGGACUCCCGCCUCCAUUCUAUAUAUGUAUAAAAAAUUAAAGAAAAAUCCCAACUGAACGAACUAUCAGCAUUAGACGCAUUCAGAUCAAUCGAGAUGAUGAACAAAAAUACGAACCGGAACACGAAAUGGAUCGGCAGCAACCACAUUCCUCUGCAUCUGCACCGGAUUCUUAAGCUAAAGAUUGGACCAAAAACGGCAAUGAGAAACUCGAACAAAGAAAAGAGAUAGAGGAAGAGAAAGGAUGGAUAGAAUACCAGGAGGGAGGGGAGGUUGGAGCAGCGGUGGCGGAAGAGGGGGUGGGGAAAGGGAUGGGUGGUCGGGGAGGGGCGGGGCGAGGAGGGAGAGGAAGGCGAAGACGAGGAGGAGGAGGAACGUGGCGGCGGAGAGGGUGUAGGUCGCCGGCACCGCCGGGAUCACCCACCGGUGGUGGUGGCGCCGCCGCUGCAACCCCAUGUCUUCCUUCUUCCUUUCGUUAUUUAGAAAGCUCUCUCGUUCAAAUAUAAGCGCGACGACGACGAAAACGACGACAAAGAUGACAACUCUUGGUCUCCGGCGACAACGAUUCCAUUGGAAAAGAGAAGACCUCGAAGGAACCGCGAGUUGGGGGAGAGAAAAAUAUAUAUAAUAGAGAGGGGCGGGAGGGGAGUACAGGAUGGUGAUUGUUUUAUUCGUCGGGUUGGGGGUUAAAAGGUAGCGAGCUGGUGGGGGGUCGGUCUGGGGGAGGAGGACGACGAAAGAGCCAGCGCCAGAAUGGGCAGAGCGUGGCGUGUGGGCUGUCACGUGCUCGGGCGGAGUCGGUAGCAGUCCGCUUCUUGCUUCGGAUACGUUUUAAUCCGCCUUGUUCGCUCUCUCCAAUGUCUUUCUCUCUCCUGGAUGAUAGGGGCAUUAUGGAAAUUGUCCUUGACCAGUGGAUAUAAAAUGGAGGGAUGGCCAAAUUUGGAAUACGAGGGAGCCUGCACGAAUCCUACAGCAAUCCUACCCAAACUUAGAUAAGAUCCGGGAUGCACGACCUUUAAAGCAACAUUGCACUUGUUUGCCUGCCAAAAUCCAGUGCAGCACUUGGUGGACCCCCCGCAAAGAUAACCAUCAAAUAAGAAGAUCUUAUAUACCAUAUAUAACGCAUCGAGGGCCGUCUAUCUUCUAAUGACGAAAUCCGCCCCUCUGAUGAUCUAGGGUCCAGCAUAAAAUGGAGGGCAAUUUCAAAUUUAGAAUGAGGCGAUAUGGAUCGGCACGAACUUUGACGCAAGGCUGCGUUCUUUGAUUGGGCUUCGUGGUUGGUGAGUUGGGAAAUCUGUUGGUUUCCUCUGAGCGCGCGUUUAUUAUUUUUUAUCAGAUAAGGGGCAUUGUCAUGCUGAUCACUGAGAUGGGGGGAACGGAUGGACACAUGAUGGGUGCACGAAUCUCGAGACAAGAUUGCGGACAUCCUUGGCUGAGUUCCUAUCCUUCUGGAUAAGGGCAUUCUGGGGAUGGUGGUUUACAUCAUGAAGGGAAGGAUGGCCAAAUUUGAUGGGAGGGGCGUGCGGGUGUGCGAAUCUUAAAGCAAGAUCGUUUCAUUUUUCCCGUGCUUGAGAUUCUGACGGUGUUUGUUAUGGUACGGUGAUCUACUCUUUAUUUUUGUGGAAUUUUAUGGAUUGCAAUCUCGAAGUAUUAGCAAAAACAAAAUCUAGUGAAAAGUAUAAUAGGAUUGGUGGAUACUAUGCUGUAAUUUUAGAAUGGUGAUUAUGAGAGAGAGCCAUCAUAGAAAUAGUUAGCAUCAUUAUGCAGUUUGUAUCAUAAAUAUUGUGUACUAACCAAUGGCCGCUAUCAAAAGAUAGACGACAUUCAAACAAGAUAAUCUUACAUGUUAUACAAAACGCAUCUUAUUUGGUGGCUAUCCAUCUUUUGAUAGUGGUCAUCUGAGUAUUAGCAGUACUCUGCGAUGCAAACAGCAUAGCAUGGAAGAUCCUAGCUUUAAGAAACUAGCUUGUUCUUAAUCUACUUGAUGAUGCUUCUAGGAAACUUGGUCUGAUCAAAGGUUAACCAAUCUAAAAUGGAAAAGCUCCUGUAACUUCUUGCUUAUCAUACAUUACUGGAGAGUCUUUGUCAGCUUUGCUUGAAAAUGGCUAGAACUCCCAAACCAUCACAAUGAUGUUAUCUUUAUACUCUAGAUAGUUCUCAAAAUUUUUUUAUAGUUAUAUAUGAAUCUGAAAUUUAUUCCACAGAUGCUUGGGAACCGAAUUUUGCGAUCUGAACCCUAAUUUGCAGUUGGUGCAAAUUGAGUGGCAGCAUUGCCAACCUCAAACGUAUGAACCUCAGCUUACAAGGUACAAUUGCCUAACCUUAUGAAGGAUAAUAAGAGAAUUGUGCAUGGGCGAAUCUGUGGGUGGUCCCAAAAAUGUUUGCAGAAAUAAGAGAUUUUGCAAAGAUCAUGUCCAAGUUUAUCAAAGGUUCAUGAGUUUCAUUGCAAAAAAGAUUUUUGUGUUUUUGUACGAUAAAGGCAAAGAUUUAGCAAAGAAAAUGACCCAACAAUAAAACCGCUUGUGCUCUCUUUACAAGAGGUAUGAUGGAGACUUUGGUUCAUUAACAAAAAAGAAUAGAGAUGUAAUAACAACCACACAAAACAGAAAUUGGCAUGUCUUGUGUUCCUAGUAUUAUUAUUUAGAUUGUUUUCAACUCAAUAUUGAAGAUCCUCGGCUCAUGUGAUUGCAUGUAUUGGUGGUAUUCUAAAAUGCGAAAAAUUAUAUCUUAUGCCAUAUGUAUCAUACGGUGAUGCACCACACCAAUUACAAAUACUAAUUUUUAUAGAUUUCAUCCACCAAGUUCUCAUGUCGGUGAUAUAACCUAGAAAAAUGAGGGUCUAUGAUUGGCAUGAUGCACCACCACAUAUACUUAGGAUAUAAUACCUUUUCUAAUGCGGUACAAUGGUAUUGCACCUCUUAACCAUUUCUCAAUUCAACUAUAAUAUUUUCUUAAGACUUAUGUGACUAUCAGAUAGGAGGAAAGCCAGUUCUACAAAACUCAUACUCCUCUUAUCCUCAUUGUCAUAUUUUAAAAUUUACAAGCGAAAGAUGAUUAGAUCUCGCCUAGCAAUUUUAUUACAAUCAAUUCUCACCUAACAUUUUUUUAUUCCUAGUGAUGUAAUUGGAACAAAAUUUGGUAACAGCACAUGAAUGAGAUCUCUGCGACCUAAUUAGUUCAAGACCAAGCAAGCAAAUGGACCAAGAAAGGGACUCUACCCAAAAAAAAACACACAAAAGGACCAAGAAGGGAACGUAAGUUGGGGGAUAUUUCACUGUCUAGAUGGUAACGUCACCUUUUCAUUGAUUAACAAGCAAGGCAAGUUGUCCUUUACGCUGAUAUGAUAUAGCUCCAAACCCUAGUAACCAUCAUAUUUUAUUUUUAUAUUUAAUGGUUUUAUUUUUUGCAAGAAUGUUUAAUGGUUCUUUGCCAAGAAUACUCCGUAACUGCAAUAAUUUUUUUUUAAUUUUUUAUAUGUAUAUUUGAUUUGUGAUUGAAAUUGAAACUGAAAUUAAAAUCAAAAUAGAUUAGAAUAGAAAUUAAAAUGAUUAUAUCCUAUGGCAUGUUUAGUUAGUAAUACUAGAAAAAAAUAAAAAUUUAAUUUUAAAAAUUAAGACAUUUUCAUUUCCCUCAAAAUCAGAAUAAAAAUUGAUCCGAAUGAAAUGACUGAAAGAAGAGUUAUUCAUUCUUAUUCUCAUUUCGAGUCCAACUCUCUCUAUAGGUAUGCAUUGCUCAGUUCGGAUAUGUUUGGGAUCCAUUUUUAAACUAAAUUGAUUGGAAUCGAUUUUCUAAAAUCAAAAUCGAAACCAAACUAACCACAUAAAAAAAUUUAUUUAAACCAAAAUUGGCUCAGUUUAUCGGAUUGUGUGCUAUUUGGUUUAUGGCAAAUAAGUAGGUUAUGAGAUAGGCUAAAUGGGUUGUCAUUCACUUUAAUUUUUUCUAACUAUACUGAAUGGAUUACACCCACGGUUGGUUUGAUUUAAAUCAGAUUUUUCAAAAUUAAAACCAAAGCUGGACUGAUUUUUUUGAUUUUUAAAAUUGUUAAACAGAAACCAAAAUGAAUCUCAAAAAAACUAAUCCAAACUAAACCAAAAUUAGCAGUUUGGAUCGAUUUUUUUGCUUGCCCUUCCCUACUCCCCUCAAUCAAAUAAAAAAUUAUUGGCUGUAAUUAUUUUACCAUGUGUACCUUAGGCCAUCCAAUGAGAUGUCAUCACGGCAUUUAUUGUUUGAAAAAGAUAUAUUGUUAUCCAAAUUUAAUUGAAAAUUUUGAAUAAAAAAAAUUUUACUGUUAAUUAUGGUUGAUCUGCUGACAAUUUUUAUUGAUUUGAAUAAAAAAAAUUACUUUCCUAGAUGAUCAGGUGGCUUUUUAUUUGAUGACCCAAGAUAUAUAUGGUAGAAGGGUCCGAUCCCAUAAUUUAUCCAACCAAACACGCCCAACAUGCUAACAAUUGGCAUUUUGGUCUCGCAAAGAAAACUAAACGCUAAUUGUAAUGCUUAGAAUUAAAUAUUCAAUCACUCAAUACGAGAUGUUCCCAUAGGGCUUUAAACAUUGCUCCAUUUCCCAAAGUAUCCCCAUAAGACUAGAUACAUUACGGAUCACCUAGCUGUUGUCUGCAAGCUUUAUUCAAAUUAUAAAUUGAUAAAUCCUAAGUUUGCUUCGGUUUUGUUGAAACUUGCUCAAGCUACCACCAGCCAAAACUUUCUCAGCGUAUUAUAAAUUCACAAAGUCCAAGCGACACAAACUUUUACGUAGCCGACCCCAUGCAUUUCAAAACAACUCCAUUGACCACCUACCCUCCACCAAAACUUGACCAGCUAACCAUUUUAUAUACUUUUGGUUGAUAAGACUUGGACGUGCGGACAAGGGAUUGCAAAACAAAUAAAAAUAACAAAACAAUAAAAAAAAAUAGUGCACCUCUUCUUGAUCGCUAUUUAAUAAGACCAUAAUUAGAAGUUCAAAAAUUUAAAAAUUUGAAAUAUUUUAUCAAAGAGCGAGUGGGUGGGAAAGGGAGAAUCCCCCAACAUCCUUGCGCUUGCUGAUAUGUUUGUCUCCAUGGAAUUAUAUAAUGGUCCGACAGUGGGUGUUAAGAAUUAUAAAAUGGUCUGACAGUGUGUCCCUCUCCAUCAUCCUUGCUUUGGCUGAUAUGUUGGUAUCCGUUGGAACCCCAUUCAAUUAGAAAAAACCUGGGAGAAGAAAGAUAAGUGAGAGGUAAUUCCAAAGUAAAGGAUUAUCCAUUUCUACCGAGAAAGGAAAAAAAAAAAAAAAAAAGGAUUGUCCACCAACAAAAGAGCGCGGUUAGAACAAAUAGUUCAUUCAAAUAAUUUUAAUCCUAUCUACUUUCUAAAUGCACCAAAAAGUAGGAUUGUCCUUGUAAUAAUAUCCAAAUGAUUACACAAAUCGAUGCUUUCGCUUACCUCUCUGCUUAUUCUUGCAAAUAAAUAUUAAAAAUAAAUGAAUGGAUAUAUUAUAUAGAAUAAAGUACGUGGAAGGGAGAACCCCUAAAAAGUAAUCCUGUCCAUAGCAUUGGAAAACGUUCCUUAAAAAAUAAAAGAAACUCAGGAAACGUAUACCGUGACGUUAAUAUAUCUUUAUAUUAAAUAAAUGCCUCUCACCCGUUUCUAAUGCUGGGAGGAUGGAUGAGAGGGGAGAAAGAGAGAGAGAGGGGAACUAUUCGUGGCUUUGGGGAGGAGUGACUAGGUUGACGGCGUCAAUGGAGAGUUCGUAGAGAGAGAGAGAGAGAGAGAGAGAGAGACUGUGUAAGNNNNNNNNNNNNNNNNNNNNUAGAGAGAGAGAGAGAGAGAGAGAGAGAGACUGUGUUAAGAAGGCGGGGGAGUGGGUGUAGCCGUGGCAGUGUGGUAACGGAUGGGGAGGCUUCGAUGGCUACGAGGGAUGUUGAUUGGAUGCGGAGGUGGGGCCAGGAGCAGGAGCCGUGAGAUCAGAGCAAGCAGAGGGGAUUAGCGUGCAGUCUUUUGCACUGCAACCUCGAAAAAGAAGGCAGCGGAGGGUGCAAGGAAAGGCGGGCGGUCCUACCUAACUGACUGUGGUGUGGUUCUCUCCCGUCUGCUGGGUUCCAUUUGGAAGCCUCAGUCAGAAAAAAUUAAUGGUUAGGACUGUUCCAUUACACAGGUUUUGGAUCAUUCAACAAAACGCCAUAUAUCAUUCCAUAAGAUUAAAAAAAUUUAAUAAAUAUUAGAUUAAAAAUGAUUAACCAUGAUUAACUAUAUAUUUUAUUUUCAUUCAAGCAGAAAGUUUUGAAUUUUGAAUCUCGGAAUGAUAUGACGAUGUUUUUUUUUUAGAUGGUCCAAAAUCCACGUUUUAAUCAAUAAUUCCUUCUUGAUCAGGCUAAUGCUUCUUCCUUAGUUUGUGCUUUUCUUCUCGUACUUUUCAAUUAAGAUGUAAAUGAUGUAUAGCAGUGGAUAGGACGGUAUGAUAUUUAGAAGUGCAAUUUAUACUCUGACUCACAAAUAUUUCACUUUAAAUAAGUUCAAAUUUAGUAUAAAUAUAUUUAAAUCGUAAAUGAAUCAACUUGGCUUAGAUUGUUUUUUUAUUAAAUAAGUUAGGUUAUUUAAACCAAUGAUCUAUUUAAUCCAUUUUGACCAGUUUAAUAAUUAUAUUGACCAAUUGAACCUGUUUAAAAUCUAUUUAGUCUUUUUUAAAUCUACUUUACCUAGUUUAUCCUAUUUUAUCUGAUCUGCUUGACUUAGUUAAUCUAUUUAAAUCUAUUUAAUUUAUUGAAAAUUGGUUCAACCUAUUUAAUUUGUUUAACCAAAUUCGACAUGUUUGCUAAAUGGGAUAUUCGAGUCAACUUGGAUAACUUGUUUAACAAAUAGAGUGGAUUUAGAUACGAAUUUUGGACAUGUUCAAGAAAUAAGUUGGGUUUGGAUUGAUAAACUUUGUUCUCGAUUUACAUUUGAUCCAACCCAAUUGGAUUGUCAUUGCUGGGUAAAAUUCUAGGAUAAGGAGCACAAAGGGCUAGCUGGCUCAAUAGGCCCUAAGUCCAGUUCAAUUUAUAGUAUAGAGUGUAGAUCCUCUCGGUCAAGGUUUUCAUCUUGUCCAAGAUCUAGUCCAAGAUCCCAUAUCAAUAUUGAGCAUCUUUCAACAUGAUAUAAAUAUAUAGAGUGUUGGCACUAUUAUCUUGGCAAUAUAAUCAAUAAAUCCAUGAUAUCAAUCGAUACGAUAUAUUCAUAUAGUGGAUAUUUUUUAAUCACUAUUUUACUUUCUUAAACGGGAUUUCUUAGUUGAAAAAUCUUACAACCAGCAUUUCAGUAUGGUUCUUAAUUUGAAUUUCUCAUAAUGGAUAGGAUUGUGAUACCUCAUUUUGAAAAUAUCAAUCAAGAACUAGGAGAAUCUUGCUGUCCAAAUUUUCUCACUAACUAUAUUAAUGGAUAUAAAUUGAGAUCUCAUCUCAUCUCGAUCUUGACUACUUAUCAAGUUGAUUGAUAUAUUGAUACUCAAAAAUCACAUCUCUGGCUCACAGUUGAAUGAUAGAUUCAAAAUCUCAAUCAUGGCCAUCUUAUAUUACAUAACAAUAAUGAUUAAUAUGGCCUUAUAUGGUACAUAUCAUGGCAAACUAUAUCAUGCAAUAUGUCAUAGUCCGACAUCGACUAAUUAAAAGGGUGCCACAUAGGUUUAUUAAUUUACACCGAUCCUCCUCCCAAUAGCUUAUAAGCUUUUCGGUUGAGUCUAUGACAAAUGGUAUCAGUAUGAGAUUGAAUAUACAUCACAACCCUCAUAAGUUGUAUGAUCUCCGUUACAGCUUAGGUAUAGUUCUUAGAAGAGUAGGCACUUUUAGGGAUGUAGUAAAAUAUUGCUCUUGGAUAGUGGGCUGUUGGGAUAGAGAGGUAACACAUAUUGUACUCAAAAAAUUGAAGGGGCACGGAGCAUGUGUUGCACUCAAAAAGUUAAUUGGGCACAAAGCUUCAUCCAAGAGUGGUGUAUUGAACAUGAGGAGAGCUGAAAUGGGCUCACACCUACAGAGGAAGAUGUUGAGGAUCUUGUGUAAGAUAAUAUGAAAUAAAUAAUGGACGACAGGUGAUUGGAUCUGAAACCGUUUAGGCUCUUAAGUUGAAUUGGGUUCUGUUUUAUACCUUAUCCUUUUUGAAUCGAACUACAAACUGUGGCUCUUGGAGAGUAGCUUUUGUUCUGGAGCAGUAAGACAUAUCAAACUCAUAAAAAUAACUUGAUUAGAGAGUUGUAGGUUGGAUUUGAGAAGUUGAAAUUAUCUUACACAUAAAAGAGAGAAUAUUGAACAUCUUGUAUAGGAUUUAGUGCCAUACAUGAAAUAAGUAACUGAGAGAUAUAGAUGGAUUGACAUAGAUGGCUCAAUCCAAAAUUUAAUGGCUUGAGUUAAUUGGGUUCUAGUUUAGGCUUCUUGUUGGACUGAACUCUCAUUUUCUUCCCAAGAGAUUUUUCACCAACCUGGAGGCCUAGAUAGUCUUGAAGACUACCCAGUCAAAAGUCUCUCUCAAGCAUGUGCUUGCAGUCUAGGAGCUUGCCAAUGCAAGUUUGAUGAUUCUUGCAAACCCUAAUGCCAUAUAUAAUUUACCAAGUUGAGAGGUUCUUGUGGACGUCCUUGAUAGAGUGCAUAGAGUGGGUAGAGUGGUAAUUUAUGCUCUCACUCAUGAAUAUUUCACUUUAAACAAAUUCAAAUUUGAUAUAAAUGAAUUAAUUUGCCUAAUUUUUUUAAUUAAAUAAUUUGGGUUCAGAUUUAGAUCAAUGAUUUAUUUUGGCCUAUUUUGAUCAAUUUAAUAAUUAUAUUGGGUCAUAAUGUGAUCAGUUUAAUAUGUUUACAACAUAUUUAAUCCAUUUAAAAUCUACUUAACCUAUUUUAGUUCUAUUUAACUUGUUUAACAUUUAAAUCCAUUUAAUUUGUUAAACCUACUUAAUCUAAUUAGUCCGUUCAACCAAAUUUGACCUGUCUAUUAAGUAGGUUAUGCGGGUCGACUUGGAUUAUCUGUUUAAUAAAUAUAAUGGAUUCAUAUCUAAAUUUGUGACAUGUUCAAUAGACAAGUUGGCUUUGGAUUUAUGAACUAUGGCUUCGACCUAUAUUUGACCCAACCUAAUUGGAUGGCCAUCUCUGGGUACAAUUUUAGUAUAGGGAGCACACAAGGCUAGCCACCCCAAUAAGUCCUUGGUCCAACCAAUUUAUAGUAUGGUGUUUAAAUCUCCUUGUUAAGAUUUUCAUCUUGUCUAAGAUUUGUGCCAAGAUCUUAGUUUGUAUCGGUAUUGAGCAUCUCCCAACAUGAUAGCCAUUAUCUUGGCUACUAUAAUCAAUAAAAUUCAAGAUACCAGUCGAUAUUAUAUGUAUUCAUAUAGUUGAUAUUUUUAAUCAUUAUUUUACUUUCUUAAAUAGGAUUUCUUAAUUAAUAAAUCUUGGAAUCAAUACUUCAAUAUUGUUCCUAAUUUGAAUCUAUCAUAUUGGACGAAUUUACAAUACCUUGAUGUGAAAAUUAGGAAAUCUUGCUUCUAUCCAAAUUUUCUGACUUACCAUACCAAUCAAUAUGAAUCAAGAUCUCAGCUCAUCUCAAUCUUAACAACUCAUCUAGACGAUCAAUAUAUUGAUAUUUAAAAACCUCAUCUCUAGCUCAUAGUUGCAGUUGAAUGAGAGAUUUAAUCUCUCAAUCAUGACAAUCUUCACGUUGUACAACAACAAUGAUAAAUAUGGCCUCGUACAGUAUGUAUCAUGGUAAAUUGUGGCAUGCCAUAUAUCAUAAUCCUAUAUCAACUAAUAAAAGGGGUGCCAUAUGGGUUUAUUAGCCUGAGUUGAUCCUCUUCCUAGCAACUCUAGUUUUUGGACUGUGAGUCUAUGACAAAUGGUAUUAGUGCGAGACUCAAUACACAUCUUAACCCUUAUAAAGUCAUAUGGUCCUCUUAAUAAGUUAGAAAUAGUUUUUAGAAGAGCGGACACUUAUAUAUAUGUAGAGAAAUGUCACUCUUAUAGAGUGUGCUCUUGGGCUAGAGAGGUAACAUAUGUUGUACUCAAAAAAACUAAUGAGAUAUGGAGCUUCAUCGGAUGGUACUCUUUUGAACUCUAGAAGAGAAAUUGGCUCACACCUAAAGGGAGAGAAUGUUUACAAAUAUGUGUAAGAUUGCGUGAAAUAGUUUGUGAGAGGUUAGUGGUUUGAUAUAGAUGAUUGAAUCCAAAAUGGCUUAAGCUUCUAAGUUGAAUUGGGUUUUGACUUGUACCUACUCCUUUAACUCAAACUUUGAACCAUGGCUCUUGAAGAGUGGAUUUUUGGCCUCAAGUCGUAACAUGUAUUAACCUCAUAAAAAUAACUUGGUGUGGAGCUUGAUUAGAGAAUGGUAGAAUUUUGGAAUCAAGAAGUUGAAAUUAUCUCACAUAUAAUACAUGAUUCAGCACCAUACAUGAUAUGAUUAGUGAGAGGAAGAUGGAUUGACAUAGAGUGGACCCAAAAUUUAGUGGUUUGUGUUUAAGUCAAUUGAAUUUUAGUUGUAAAUCAAGGUUUCUUCCCAAAGGAUCUUGCAUCAGCCUGGAGGCAAUCAAAAGCCUCUCUCAAGUAUGUUCUUGCAAGCUAGGAACUUGCUGAUGCAAGUUUGAUGAUCCUUAGAGACUUUGAUGCCAUAUAUGAUUUGCCAAGUUGAGAGGUUAUUUUGUUCUUGAGCCACUAUAAUUAUCACCUUGUCUAGCUUGUAGAGCUUUGAGGAAAUGCAGCAAGCCUUGAGGAAAGUGAUCAACUAUUCAAGAGAUGGAGGAAUUGGAGUUUUGAUAAAAAGAGCGAGGACUUGAAGAUUGGAGCUUGGGAAGAGAUAGUGUGAGGUAGGAUAUACACGACGAGUCAGAUGGAUCAAUUUGGGCCAGUUAAACUCGAAACCGGACCAAUUUACACUGGCUUUUUAGAAUGUGGAAGUAAAAACCGAACCAUCCAUUUACAAAAACUAUUUGAAAUUGUUCCGAAAAAUUUAUUUUGGUUUGGUUCGAAUUAUUGAAUUGAUAUCUGGUUUUAUAUAUAAAAGUUGAAUAUAAGAAAAAAAUAAAAAAUUGGUCUAUAUAUAUACACACACAUGUACAUAUGUAUGUAUGUAUGUAUGUAUUGGGUUGGGUCUACUUGAAUCGGUUUACUAAAAUUCAAAUUGAAUCUGAACUGAAUAUUUUUGAUUCAAGAAUUUCUCAAACCAACAUAAAAACUGAAUGAAAAAAAAAAUGAUAUAAACUAAAUAGAAUCAAAAAAAAAAAAAAAAGAGAUUUCCGGUUCGGCUGGUUUUUUGCACACCCCUACUAGAAGGGAACAAAUCAAACAUGGUGCAUGGGCUAAAUUGGUGGGUGGUAGAUAUCUUAAUUCUGGGCAAAUAAAGGAGAGUCAAAAGAUGGAGGUCGAGAUAGGUAAGCAGUCCAAGUAAUUGUCAUCUCCCGAGAAUGAGAAAGAGUACUCCCGAGAAUUCGUUAAGUUCAUCAAUCUAUUUUGAACCCGUGCAACGUUCCAUUGGAAGCAUUCAACCAUCCUUUGUGUAUCGUACUAGUACGAGUUUCCGUAUGUUGCUCUCAUCUCUUCGUGCCAUAUAAUCCAGGGAACUAUUUGUAUCCACGUAAUGUGGGGCCAUGGGACUAUUACUUAUGGCUCCUUGCUAUUACUUCACUAGAUGAUGUGCCUCCCUGGAUGAGAAGGUACAUUAGUUGAGACUGAUCCUUUAACCAACUUCACUGUGAUUAAAUAGGCUACCUGAAAUCUGCCCAUCUUUAAACCAGGACCAAAAAAAAGGGGAAAAAAUUUAAGGGAUAAAGCUUUCCAGUUUCAAGAGAGACUGUUGUAUUUAAGUAGUUCAGAAAUGAUUCUAAGAUUCAGAAUUCAGUUUACAUUUCUCAAAUGAAUCAGUCAGGCCCUUGUACUGAAGACUGUUUAUUGAUAACAUUAUACAGAAACCGUCAUAUAGCUCCAAUGGCAAGAUUUAUUGGCCAAACAUAAGAUUACAAACCUAAAUUAUAUGCAGCAGUGGACAGAGUGGUACAAUUAGGAGUGGUAAUUUAUGCUCUCACUUGCAAGUUUUCCACUUUAAACAAGUUGAAAUUUGAUAUAAAUGAAUUAAUAUUUGCCUGAUUUUUUUUAUUAAAACAAGUCAGGUUCAAAUUUAGACCAAUGAUUUGUUUAACCUAUUUUGACCAUUUUAAUAAUUAUAUGAUUUGUUUAACCUAUCCAGGUUCAAAUUUAGUUUAACUCAUUUGAAACAUGUUUAAUCCAUUGAAGACCUACUUAACCAAUUUUAUCUAGUUUAACUCAACCUGCUUGACUUGUUUAACAUGUUUAAAUCCAUUUAAUUCAUCAAAAAAUUUACUUAGUAGUCCAUUUAACCAAAUUCGACAUAUUUCAUAAAUAGGUUAUGUGCGUCGACUUGGAUUACCUAUUUAAUAAAUAGAGUGGACUUAGAUCUGAAUUUGUGACAUGUUCAAUAAAUAAGUUGGCUUUGAAUUGAUGAACCAUGGACCCGACCUACAUUUGACCCAACCCAAUUGAAUUUUUUGCCAUCCCCUGAUACAAUUUUAGUACAUGGAGCACAAAAGGCUAGCUAGCCCAAUAGGACCGCGGUCCAACCCAAUUUAUAGUAUGGUGUUUAGACCCUCCCAGUCGAGGUUUUCAUCUUGUCCAAGAUUUGGGCCAAGAUCCCAGUCUAUAUCGGUAUUGAGCAUGCCCGGACAUGAUAUAUAUAUAUAUAUAUAGUCUUAGAGCUAUUAUCUUUGCCACUAUAAUUAAUGAAAUUCAAAGCAUCAGUUGAUGUGAUGCAUUCAUACAGUUGAUUUUUUUAAUCGCUAUUUUACUUUCUUAAAUAUGAUUUUUUUUAAUUAAUAAAUCUUGCAAUUAGUACUUCAAUAUGGUUCCUAAUUUGAAUUUCUCAUAUUGGAUGAGAUUACGAUACCUCAAUAUGAAAAUAUAAAUCAAGAACUAGAAAAAUCUUGCUUGCAUCCAAAAUUUCUGGCCAACCAUAUCGAUCGAUCGAUAUAAAUUAAGAUCUCGACUCAUCUCGAUCUAGACAAUUCAUUGAGAUAAUCGAUAUAUUGACAUUUGAAAUUUGAAGACCUCAUUUUUAACUCAUAGUUGUAGUUGAAUGUGAGAUUCAAUCUCUCAAUCGUGACCAUCUUUGCAUUGCACAAAGCUAAUGAUUAAUAUGACCAAAUGCAGUACAUAUCAUGGCAGACUGUAGCAGAUCACAUGUCAAAGGCCUAUAUCGGCCAAUAAAAGAGGUGCCAUAUGGGUUUAUUAGCCUAAGUCAAUCCUCCUCUAGUAGUUAUAGCUCUUGAGCUGUGAAUCUAUGAUAAAUGAUAUCUGUACGAGACUCAAUAUGCAUCAUAACCCUUAUUCAUAAUAUGAUCUCCUUAACAGCUCAGGCAUUGUUCUUAGAAGAGCUGACACUUGUAGAUAUAUACAGAAAUGCCAUUGUUGGAGAGUGCACUCUUGGGCUAGAGAGGUAAUAUAUGUUGCACUCAAAAAUUAAUGAACUAUGGAGCUUCAUCGAACAAUACUGUUUUGAACUCUAGGAGGGUUGAAAUUGGCUCACACCUAAAGGAGAGAAUUUCUAGGAGGGUCGAAAAGACUGGAUUAGGUUCGCAGUUUGGCUGAUUUUUUUGCACACCCCUACCAAGAGGGAACAGUCAAAAAUGGUACAUGGGCUAAAUUGGUAGGUGAUAGAUAUCUUGAUUCUGGGCAAACAUAAGGAGAGUCAAAACAUGGAAGACAAUAUGGACGGUUACUGCUCUCAGUAAUUGUCAUCUCAACAUUGAGAAAGAAUACUCCGGAGAACUCCUUACUUCAUCAAUGCAUUUUGGACGCAUGCGACGUUCCAUUGGAAGCAAUCAACCACCCUUCUGUGUGGUACUGGUACGAGUUCCAUUUCCGUGCCAUACAAUCUAGGGAACUAUUUGUAUCCACGUAAUGGGCGACCAUGGGACUAUUACUAAUGGCUCCUUGCCAUUGUUUCAAAACUAGAUGAGCUGCCUCCCUGGAUGAGAAGGUACAUUAUCUGGGAAUACAGGCAUACAGUUGAGACUCUGAUCCUUUAACCAACUUCACUGUUCUUAAAUAAGCUACCUGAAAUCUGCCCAUCUUUAAACCAGGACCAAAAAACGAAGGAAAAAAAAAAAAAGAAUGAAGGUUUUCAGUUUCAAGAGAGACUGCUGUAUUCAAGUAGUUCAGAUAUGAUUCUAAUACACAGAAUUCAGUUUACGUAUCACAAAUGAAUCAACCAGGCCUGUGUACUGAAGACUGUUUAUUGAUGACAUGACACAAAUCAUCAUAUAGCUCCAAAAGAUCAAGGCUUCUAGUUGUACAUAAAGGCUUCUUGUUAGAAUGGAACUGUCGUUUUCUUCCAAAAGAUCUUGCACCAGCCUGGAGGCCUGGCUAGUCUUGGAGACCAUCCAGUCAAAAGCCUCUCUCAAGCAUGUGCUUGCAGGCUAGGAGCUUGAUCAUGCAAGUUUGAUGAUCCUUACAAACCUUGAUAACGUAUAUAAUUUAUCAAGUUGAGAGGUUCUUGUGUCCUUGAUCCACUCUAAGCAUCUUUUCUAGCUUGGUAGAGCUUUGAUCACAGUGAUGGAUCAGAAGCUUGUUUAUUAACCAUUGUACAAGUACAAGCUUGGUUACAAUGGAGUAAGCCUAGGGGAAAGUAUCGCACAUUCAACCCUAGAUCAUAAGUCAACAACUACGGCAUACUCAUAGAGAAUUUUCUCUACAAGCAUGCAGGAUAUCUAUUCACGAUAUAAUAAAGCAACAAUAAAAUAGUAGUUAGAAUGCCAAUGCAAAAUAUCAUGAGCUUAGUAAUAGUUAGAAUAUCAAUGUAUAACUCCCAAAUUGGCACGAUUCAAAAUAUAGUCAGAUUGAGGGUUCAAAUCUGAUUUAUAUUUUUGUAAUUUUUUUUUCUUUCUUCUUCCUUCGGUGAAACAGGGGAUUAGUUUCUCCUUCUUUUCCUAGAAAAGUAGAUGGCCCCCCAUUGGCUAUGGUUGUGGCCAGUGGUGGCUGAGGCAACACUGGCAUUAUCGAGAGGCUGCCACCAGAGGUUGGCGAUGAAGAUGAUUGGAAAAAUUAAAAAAAAUAGGCGGAGACCAAGAAAACAUAGGGGUUUGGUUUUCUAAGAAUAAUCCCAUGAUUGUUGGCUAGAAUCAAGCCUCCCUCUUGCUGAGGAAGAUGGGAGAAAGGUUUACUAAAAGGUUCUUGGCUUGUACCUAGCUUCCCAGUGGUGCUCUGCCAUGAUUUCCAAUGGGUUUGAUGAUGAUCAUCCAUAAAAAAGAAGAAAAACGAUGGAAAAUCGCUGAUGAUCUUUAGCGAUCUGGGUAUGGGAUCUAAGGGGGAGAGUGAGGGCUCGUUAAAAAUAGAAUGGAGGAAGGCCAACUCUCACUCGAAGUCAGCUUCCCUCCAGUGAAAUCGAGAGGGUGAAGGAGAACUCCCACUGGAGUAUUCUUCUUCUCUUUGCAUUUUUUUUCAUUCUUGGGCUUUAUGAUCCAUCUGGACCAAUCAAGUGGACUGGGCCCAACUCCCUAUUCAACUUCAAACGGGCUAGGAUAUCAUAUAAAGUGAUGGCAUGAGUAAUUCUUUAUAUGAGAAAUUCUUUAUGCACCGCAAGCGGUGUAGAAAAUCCACUGUAGAGCACAUCAAUUUAUGUGAUUGAUCAACGUAGCCAUCGCUUUCGAACUUAUAUUUAAUACCUAGAGUUCUAUUUUUUUAUUUAAAAAUUUUGCAUGAUAAAAAUAUUCAUGCUUUUUGAAAAAAUUAUGACAUUGGAUGCCAUAAUAUGAUUUUGAAAAAAUUAUGACAAAAAACUUAUAUUAUGACUUCCUGCACGUGGGAUGUCAUAAUAUGAUCCAAAAAGUUAGGACAUUCUAUGGCAUAUUAUGACAUUCUAUAUCAAAAUAUGACUUCUUAUAUGUAGGAAAUCAUAAUAUGAUCCAGGAUGUUAUAAUAUAGCCCAGGAUAUCAUAAUAUAAAAGGAACAUUUUUGUCCAACCACUUUUCAAUGCGCAUUUAAUAUCUGCUGUUCCGUUUUUUCAUUUAAAAAUUUUAAAUAAUAAAAAUACUCUUGCUUUUUGAAAAAAAUUAUGACAUUCGGUGGCAUAUUAUGAUAUUUUACGUCAAAAUUAUGACUUUCUGCACGCAGGAUGUCAUGAUAUGAACAUAAGAUGUCAUAAUUUUUUACAAAAAAUAAAGAUAUAUUCGUCAUUCAAAAUUUUUAAACAAAAAUAUGAAACUGCAGACAUUAAAUAUAUAUUGAAAAAUGGUGGCUACGUGGAUCAAUCACAUAAAGCGGUGCGCUCCACAUUGGAUUUUCUGCACUGUCUGUGGUGCACAAAGAAUUUUACUUCUUUGUACAUCAUAUGUAGUGUAAAAAAAAUACAUCGUCCCAUUUGAUUGGGCCAUGUAGCUAUCGCUUUUCAAUAUAUAUUUAAUAUCUACAGUUUCAUUUUAUCAUAAUUUUUUCAAAAUAGGAGAGCAUUUUUGUCAUUCAAAAUUUUAAAUGAAAAAAUAGAACUGUGGAUAUUAAAUGCAUAUUGAAAAGUGAUAGCUACGUGCUUCAAUAUAGUUAGAUAGUGCACUUCACAUCAAUUUUAUUACACUGUACGUGGUGCAUAAGGACUUUCUCAUGAUUGCAUAUUCAAGAGAUGGAGGAGUUGGAGAUUUCACAAGAUGGGUGGUAGAUAUCUUAAUUGUGGGCAAAUAAAGGAGUAGAAAGAUAGAGCUUUAGAUAUCUAUCUAAAAUCUACCAAUCCUUAAACUAGAGCCAUCAAAAUGGGCCAGCUCAUUUGGCCCUAAAAAUGAGAUGAAUCGGGCUGAAAAAUUCUAGCCCAUUUAUGAAAGUGGGCUUUUUGGCCCGGCCCUUGUAGCCCAUGGGCUGAACCAGGUUAAGGCCAGGUCAGCCCGUGGGCCGGCCCAUUUGAUGGCUUUUUUUUGGAGUUUUCUCUCCUCUCCUGUUGUCUCCCCCUCCCUCUUCUUCUGCUUCGACUGCGAUACAACAGCAACGACACGAAGCUGGUCAUCUUUAUGCCCAACCUCCUCCGCACCUUCCCCUCCCUCCUCGGUGGUCCCGCCUCCUCCGUGCCUCCCUCCGUCGGUGCGGCUAUUGCAGCAUCCCCCUCCCCGUCGCAGUCCCCAGCCUGAUCCCCCUCCCCCUACCCCUCCCGGCUCCCCCUCCUCCACCUCGGCUCCCCUCUUCUCCUUUUCCUCCCGCCGCCUCCCUCCUCCCUACUGGACCUACGAGGAAACCCUAGCCCUGAUCGACUCUUAUCAUGACAAGUGGUACACCCUCCGGCAACCUCCGCACCUCCCACUGGCAGGAGGUCGCUAACGCCGUCGCUUGCUGAUGCACCAGCCUACCCCAAGUCUCCUCCAAGAUCUCGGUGUAGUGCCGACACAAGGUCGAGAAGCUCCGCAAAUGCUACCGCGCCAAGCGCCAGCGCUUGCUUGCCCAUGAUCCCACAGCGGAUGGCAUGGAGGAUGACGUCGGGGCAGGGCCAUGGGUGGCCCGUUGGAGGGGGGGUGGGCGCAGGUUGUCCGCCGGCAGAGAGGCAGAGGAUCGGCCGAGGUGGACGGGUGGAAGGAAGGGAAGGGAGAAAUAAGGAAAAAAAUUUUUUUUAAAAAAUGGGCUGGCCCGACCCUAACCCACAGCCCACGUGGGCUAGGACUGCUUAUUUUAACAGCUCUAUUUUAAAUCAGGACCAAUAAAACAAAAAAAAAUAAAAAUAAAUAAAAGGAUGAAGCUUUUCAGUCUCAAGAGAGACUGUUGCAUUAAGUAAUUCAGGAAUGAUUCUGAUAUCCAGAAUUCAGUUUACACGACACAAAUGAAUCAACCUGGCCCUUGUACUGAGUACUGUUUAUUGAUGACAUUACGCAGAAAUCAUCAUAUAGCUCCAAUGGCAAGAAUUGGCCAAACAAAAAACCACAAACCCUAACAAAGAUUACCAUAUGUUCCAUUGGAUCUCAAACUUCGCUUCAAUCCUUCUUAAAAAGACUUCCCAUGGCCUUAGCCUUCUCCCUGAGAAUGUACUUCUGUGUCUUUCCUGUUGAAGUCUUUGGAAGAUCCUCAAACACAACAGUCUUGGGAGCCAUAUAAUGAGGCAACCUACUGCAGCAGAGUUCUAUGAUAUCAUCUGCAGUAACACUAGCACCCUCCUUCAGCUUCACAAAGGCACAGGGAGUCUCACCCAACUGCUGGUCUGGCCUCCCUACCACCGCCGCCUCGAGCACCGCCGGGUGACCGAAAAGCACUGCUUCUAUAUGAGUUUGCUGAGACAAGGAAUCAACAUCACAACAUAACUAGAAGACUUUGUAAAUGCAGCAACUGGGUAAGUGAUUAAUUAUGACAGUGAAAUAGCAGAAGGCUGCCAAUCCUGAUUCAUGUGCCUAAAUUUAUAAGCACACAGAAGUGUUGUAAAUAUUGCAUAAACUUAUGAUCCAGAGAGAAAACUGCUUCACCUUCCAAUACCAUGACAAUAGGGUUUUCAGCAGUUGCAAUGGCAGCAAUAAGGCAUAAAUAAUCAGUUCAUAAAUGUAUACCAUGAAUCACUUAGAUCCGCAUUUGUUAUUUUCAGGGUGAUUAAAUACAACACUUGCCAAAAAAAAUUCAGAUAGUCACACGCAGCAUAAUGUUUCUCACGUCUGGCAGAUGCUUACUGAAAGUAAUACUAGAUAUAUUUGUCAAAAAGAAAGAAAAGAAAGAAGAUGCUUACAUGAAUGAAUGAACAACAACCAAAUGGAAAAAAAAUUAGAAUUUGUCCUUCUUCUGCUUAAAAUAGGAAAGUUACAAUUAUACAGCAAUUAGAACAACCACCACAAGUAGGUUUGCAGAUAAAAAUUUAAUCUUACUUGAUCCCUUUAAUUAACUCUGCUAGAAGAAGCAAAAUGAUCUGUAAAGCCUGAGCAUAUAUAUGACCAUUUCCAUAGUGUCAAAGGAAAUGACAGUAAAAGCAGCUAAUCAGGCCAACUUUUCCUUUUCUUUUCUUUUUUUUUUAAAGAAAUACAAAUUAGGCAAAUUUAAUAGUAUAUUUUCUUUACUAUAUAUAUAACAGAAAAAAAUAAAGAUCUAUACGUAGCAUGAAUUUCCUGUAUAGCAAUCAACAACAUGACCAUAGCUUCACAAUUUUCUCUAUAAAGUUAAACAAGUUAGCAUCAAAUCCAAAAGUGAACAUGAAAACAUAGAUAUAGAACUGCAUAUCAUGAGGAACCCAAAGAUACAAUGUGGAGAUAUAUUGAGAAUAGAUAACAAAACCUAAAUUGUACAUUACAUCAGGCCUGGUUUAUGUUUUUCUUGCAUGUUUGUUUGAUCAUCCAAUAUCUUAUAUGUUUGCCAUUUCUAACUUCGGCACUUUUCUCGAACUUUUCUUUUAUCCUUUUUCAGCUUCGUCCCUGUUCUUCAAGGGCCUUUUUUUUUUAAUGUCGUUUUGUCGAUCCAAUGAAACAAUUGAUGCAUCUUCCACCAUUUUUCUAGAAAGAGAUAUCAUAAGAGCCAUGCCGGUUUUGGACUGAUGACAUUGUAAUUAAAACACCACGGAACUCAUUGCCUCCGACGUCACCUCUGCUUCUUAUCCAGCUUAGCAUAAAUUUCGAGAAUAGAUACCCAAGGUAUCAGAAGUGAGGCUAAUCAAAGAUGACCACCUAGAAAGGAUUCAUAAAUGAAUCCACUCCAAGGCUUAGCAGAUUAUGGGGACUCAAAAACCUAUCCAGUACAACGUUAGGCAAUGAAAGUAUAGUAAAAAAUUCAACAAAUGUUGGAUAGAAACACAAAGCCCAAGAGCAUGGAUGGUUAAGCAAAUAGAUAGCAUAAAUCACCAAAUAAUUUGAAACCUAAUUAUGCUAGUUAAAGUGUAAUUAGCCAACAACAACAGAUAUAGAUGCAAAAGAUCGAAACAAACAAGAUAUAAGAGAUAAGAAUGAAAGUUUAAAUCCUAUUGGAUAGAGCUGUCCUGCUUUUUAAUGGAAUAGGACAGGCCGCCGUCCCACCCCAUUCUGACAUUUGGGUCAAGGAUGUCUCAAGAUGUGCUAGGAUGCCAGGAUAACACUGGAACAAUCAUGUCCUAACUUAUAGAAUGGUACCCAUCCCAAUAUCCCCCAGAACGGUAGUCCCAUAGGAUUUUCUGUCGGGACUUGAAUCUUUGAUCAGAACACUAAUCGGCAGAUCAACAUGUGUCCAGCAAAGUUCAUUAAUCAAAGAGCCCAAUCCAAUAAGCAACUAAAAAGAGCACAAUCUAAUAACCAACCAAAGCAGCAAUAGAUAUAACUUACCAAACCACGUAUCAAAGUCAAAAUCCAAAAAAAAGAUAAAAGAGUAUACCUCCCUCAAUAAAAUAAAAUAAAGACAUAAAUAAAAUAGUUGAAACAAAAAAUCUUAAAGAUAGAAACACUAAAAACAAUAAUAAAUAUAUAGCUUAAUGAUAAAAAAAAGGCCUUACGAUGUCGCCUCGAGAGAUCCCAAGUUGGUGAGCGCAGGGGCGAGGCGGAGGCAGCGUUCACGGGUUUGGCUCCAAGUAUAUGCGAUGGAGCUACAGACGAUAGCCAUCCGGUCAGGGUAAACAAUGGCGGCGCACUCGAGAAAGCUAAGUGGGGGAGGGGGACGUAGUUGGCAGAGCAUCGCAUGCUUCCCUCCAUGGCUGCCCCUAACCCACUUCCAGAGACCCAAAAUAUGCCAAAGAAGAAAUGGGAAAUGAAAGACCAUGUGAAGUAGUCCAUCCAGACACGCUUAAAAAAUUUAUAGUGGAAUAAGAAUUUUUUAUUAAAAAUAAUAUAUUUGGAUAAGAUCAUUUUAAAAGAGUAUAUAUAUAUAGGCCUUGGCAAAGCUCUCCAUUUGCCAUUUGUUUGUAUAUUACUUUGCCACCUGUAUAAUAUAAUAAAUAUUAUUUAAUACCUCAUCAAUGGUAUUUAAUUCAUUGAUAAAAUGGAGUAUAACUUAAUAGUGUAGAAGAAAAGAGAAGAUAUUCUAGGGAAGCACCGAUUCACGAAGUUAACUGCAUCCUUAUGAAUGCUCGAUCAACAAUAGUAUUGAGCUAAGAUUUGAUUUUGAUAAUAAUAAAACACUUGAGUACAAUUGAUUAUAUGUUUCAAGAAUAGAUAUAGGAUUUCUCGGGUGCUCUCAAAGAAAAAAUCUUUUCAAAAUGCUAAGUCGAAAGGACUUUAAAGAUAAAUUACACAAAUCUUAACUUAAAAGAGUCAAUCCUAGAACAUUAGGAGCCAACCUUUGAAUGACCAUAAGCUUAAACGAAACACAAUUAUUCUUUAGAAGGUUCAGAAGUUGAUCCUAAAAUUUAUGAGUCGAUUCUGACAUGUUGGAGUAGAUUAGUAUAUUACACGAGUCGAUCCUAGGUUUCUUGGAGUCGAUCCUAGAAUAUUCUCAGGCCUAAGACAAAAAGUGUACAGAAAUGACCAUUUGAAGAGUCGACUUUAGAGCAGCUCAAGUCUACCCAAGAGGGGGAUGAGUCAACUCUAGAAUGGUCCUAGGGAGGAGACAAAAAGCAUGAAAAAAAUAACCUAUUUGAGAGUCGACCCGAGUGCUUCAAGAGCCUGCUCAUACAAGACAUGAGUCGACUUUAGAAUUAAUAUAGUUAACCCCAAAGUGGCCACAAACAUAAAAUAGAGGGCAACAAAAAUCAUAGUACUUCAAGAAUCAAUUCCAAGAGAUAGCGAGUCAACCUCCGACAGUGAUGAGUCAACUCCUAAAGAAUAUGAGUCGACCCUUCCAUAGUUGAUAGCCUAACGUAUGGCCAAUUUUUUUUGAUAGUUUCCAACAACUAAAUCUCACUCCCAAUGGCUAGUUUGGCUUCUCCAAAUGCUAGUACACUUAUUGCAACUAAGUUUAAGGAUACUUAAAGCUAGACAUUCAAUUGAAAAGCAAGCUAAGAGAAAAAAAAAGAGGAAAAUCUAAGUUUUUCGAUUGAGUGGAAUGAAUAUCUUUGCAAAAGAUGAAUAAAAAAGAUUUAAGAGCUUAAAUUGAGCGAGCCAUCAAAAAAAUAUCUACAGCAGUCAUGAAAAGCCCUCUCAUUCAUUGAAGAGACGAAGUCAAAGCCUUAAAGAGCAUCUAUCAGCAACUUCAUCCUGCUUCAUUGAACUACUUUUAUUUCUUGAGCUUUGGCUCAAUUCCUUUGUCCAUUGCUUAUUUUGCUUUCUUUGAAAGUUUCUUGGGAUAGAAACUUGUAUGAUAGGCUUGUCCAAGCUUAUAAUUGAAUAGUAUAUUAAUUAAGCUUUGGAGUAAUUUAGUUGAGAUAGUUUUGGUUGGUUAGUAUAGACAAAAUCAACUAGAUUGAUUGUGAGCCCGCUUGAAACAAUUGAAUUAGAUGAUUUUGGUUGGUGAGCUGACACAAAAAUAAUUGAUUUUGAUUGAGACUGGACAAAAUAAUAGACUAUUAUCUAGUGGAUUAUAGUGCAAUUCCCAAGCAUGGGUCUUGGAGAGUGGAUGUGGAUGCUAGGUUUGAUACUGAACCACUAUAAAAUUAUUGUGUUUGUGGUUGUGCUUUGAUUUACUCUUUCACUUGGCUUCUGUUUAUUUAAUUUUGCUGUUUGAUAUUGUAUUCACUUCCCUUUCAUAUAGUAACACUAAAAUUAGUAUUCAAAUUGUUUAUAUUUUAAGAAACCUGAUUCAGCCCCAUCCCCCCUAUGUUAGGUUGUCAUAUCUGGGCAACAAGUAGCUAAAACAUUAUAGGAUAUUGCCUUGCCUCCCAAGUGAUCUCAGUAGAUGCUUUCAUGUACUUCCAGAAGGGCAUACUCUACUUUAGAGAGUUGGAGAUAUUGGAGGAGUGGCAUGGAGUAGGAUCUCUUGUAGAGAUUCUCCUUGAGUGGCAUAUAGUGUAUAGCUUGGCUCUUGAUUCUCCAAAAUUCAUUCCUAUCCCUAGAAAAUUUCUCCUCUUGAAAGUAGUUGACUAGCAAGUUUAUCCAACUAGACUCGAAGUCGACCUAUAAAAUUAGGGUAGGGUACUCAUCGAUGCUCAGUUUGUCGAGCGCCUCCAAGUAAGUAGUGUUCUGGAGAUCAGUGCACUCCAAGGUCACCAACUUUGAGAGCAAAAUAGCCUGAGCAUUCUAUGACCUAGGUAUCUACAAUAUCUCAAACUUGCCAAAGGAAGAGAAAAUAUCCCAUACUUUCUAGAGAUAUUUUAUCAUUCUCGAUGCUUCGACCUUAUACUCUCCUCGUUCUUGCCCAACCAUCGAUUGGAGUCAUUAAGAACCUUGAGGUGUCGAUCUCCGAGUUCUUGAGCAAGCUUCAACCUCAUUAGGAGGGCUUCAUAGUCGGAGUCAUUAUUUGAUACCUUGAACAGUAAGCAUAGAUUAUGUUCUGCCAUGAUGCCAUCCAUGCUGGUUAGGUCAAUCAGGCUCCGAUUUUAUUGGUGUUAGAAGACCCAUCAAUAUGGAGUAUCCAAAAGUCUACAUGUUCUAGCUCCAUUGGCUCCAAGCAACCUUAGCCCUCUCAGGGAUGUCGAACUCCACAAGGAAGUAGCCAAUGCCUGGGCUUUGAUAGAAGGUCAGGGCUGGUAGUAGAUGCUAAACUCUUUGAGCUUCACUAUCCAUUUGGCCACCCUUUUGAGGUAUCAAGCUUUUAGAGAACUUGCCUCAAAGUCGGCCAGCACUAUGAUGGAGUGUGCCUAAAACUAUGGUCGGAGCCUUCUGGUAAAGAGAAUGAAGACGUAUGCAACCUUCUUGGUCUUAGGAUACCCCAUUCACAUAACUCGAUUAGUGUAGUAAAUUAGUCUUUGCACUCCAUCUUCAUCUCGAUCUAAUACCAAGCUUAGCACCAUAGAGGAGAUAGCUAAGUAGAGAUAAAGUAUCUUCCCUUGGGCAGAGCUUGGUUAGGAGCGGUGAUGAGCUGAAGUACUUCUGAAGCUGGUUGAAGGCUAGCUGGCACUCUCCACCCAUUAGAAGUCUUUCAUUUGGCUUAGUUGCUUGAAGAAGGACAGAUACUUUUCUAUCGACUUGGUAAUGAACCUGCUUAAAGCAGCAAUCCAUCCUAUGAGGCACUCUACUUCUUUUCAGUUCCUCAAUGGUGAUAUCUUCAGGACCGCAUAGAUCUUCUCAAGAUUGGCUUUCAUUCCAUGCUGUGUCACCAUAAAACAAAGAAACUUUCCUAAGAUGACUCACACUUACUCAGAUUGAGCUCCAAGAGGUACUUGCAGGUUUAAAAGGUCAUCUUGAAGUUAGCAAUAUGUUGAUUAGCCUGACAACUUUUCACCCAUAUGUCAUCAACCUAGAUCUCCAUUUUGCAGCUAAUUUAGUCCUUAAAGAUCUUGUUGGUGGGGUGCUGGUAUGUGGCUCUUGCAUUCUUCAAUCUGAAUAACAUGACUUUAUAGUAGUAUAGCCUCUUGUCAGUGAUGAAGGAUGUUUUCUCCUCAUCCUCGAGUGCCAUUGUGAUUUGGUUAUAGCCUUAGAAUGCAUCUAUGAAGUUAAGUAUCUAGUGCCUUGAGGUGGCGUAGAUGAGCUGGUUUAUCUUGAAAAAAAAUUAUCUUUGGAAUAAGCUUGAUAAAAAUCAAUGAUAUCGAUGCAUAACCAUCAUUUUUUGUUUUUCUUUUUGAUGAGGACAACAUUGACCAACCAACGAGAUAAUUCAUCUCACAGAUAAAGCCUAUUGAGAUGAGUUUGUCUGCCUCCUCAUCAGUGACUUGAUAUCAAUCUAGCAUGAAGCUCUACUUCUUUUAUCGGAUAUGUCAGUGUAGAGAGUCCUCUCUCAACCUAUGAAUGAUGAUCUUCAGGCUGAUGCCUAGCAUGUUCGAGGCCGACUAAGCAAAGACAUCAGCUUUGGCCCUUAGAAAGUCUAAUAGGCAAGCUCUAAAGGCUUAGCUCCAAUCUGCACCAUUCUACUUGGAUCCAACUCAUGCAGGAGGAUUGAGAGAAGCUGCAUGAUUGGCCCCCCACACACCAUCAUUUAUCUCAAAAAUCAAAGCACUCGAUAGGUAGUAUUUUUACUGAUCUUUCAUCUUGGAGUAUGAAAACAUAGCAUUACAGGGGAAGCACUUGGUCACCUUAGACUUCUCCUAUGCCGUUAGUCAUGAAGAACAUCAACAGUAAAUGGCAAGUGAAGAUUAUGGUGCAUAGAGCAUUCAAUCUAGGUCUUCUCAAUAUGGCACUGUAAGCUGAAGAGACUAAGACCAUGAGAAAAUCAAGCAUUACCAUGGCCUACCUUGAUGACCUAUCCUGCAGUAAUACAAAGAGAUAACACCUUCUAUGGAGACUGGGUCUCUAGAGAACCCAAUCGAAGGAGAGUUGGUUUUUCAAAGUCAAUCCUUCAAUAGAUUCAUUUUGCAAAUGACAUCAUAAAAAAAAAUAUUCACUGAGCUUCUUCUAUCAACUAAAACACAUUUUACAUUAUAGUUGGCAGUAGUUAAAGAAACUAUAGUAGUAUCAUCAUGGGUGGUCUUGACACCAUCUUCUUUGUUGGACUCCUAGUCUGGGCUAUACUAGCAUAGAUUUUUCUUGUAGAUGAGUUGGAACAUUUGGCUGCUAGUCUAUCCGUGAUGGUGUUGAUGAUGUCAAUAGUUGGUCAGUUAUUGAGUAGGAGCUCCAGGGCAGGCUGCUCCCAACUGAAGGCUUCUUUGUCCUGCGGGUGGUAGAAAUAAGCUUUGAGGAAUUCUCACUUGAUGAGGGCUUCUAUUUUCCUCUUCAGUUUGAAGCUAUCCUCGAUAUAAUGAGUGGAAUUCACCAUCCUUCUUUGGAUCUUUGUAGGCACUCGCCUUCAUCUUUCAUGGUCAUUUGAUGAUGUCCCAACUCUUGAUUUCCAUUAGGAUUUGUCUUAGAAAGUAUUGAGAGGUAUAUAUCUCUCAAACCUUUGAGAACUUCAUGAUCGGUGAGAGUUUUCUCCAUUUCUUCUAGGCUUCUUGUAGGACAUGUCUAGAUUAUCCCGAGCCCUUUUGUUGGAGUCCUUAUUAAUAACUUUCUCCUUUCGCUUCUUCAUCAUGGCCUUAUUGAGAUUAAUGUACUUGUCAGCAUGGGUGAGGAGCUCGAUGCAGUCCCUAGUGAAUCUCUUCUCUAGAGAGAAGAAGAAUUGGAGGCCUCCAUCCCUUUCUUCAGGGCUAGCAUUUGGUUUAGGUCGUGGGUCUCCACUGUUGAUGUAUUGUAAUAGCUGAUAUAGUCUCAAAGAGAUUCAUCAUCCCUUUGCUUAAUGGUGAAGAGAGUGUCAAACACCCUUCUCUAUCUCUUGCUACUCUUGAUGUGAGUAGUGAAGAAUCCUCUUCAAAGGAGUGAAUGGAGCUCGACUGAAAUCCAAUGUACCAUAUUUGAGCAGCCUUUGAAAAAAUGGCAUGGAAAGACAUGAAUAUCAUCGAAUUGGUGGCUCUUUGGAGCAUCAUGAGAGCUUUGUAGCUUUUUAGGUGGUUGUAGGGAUCGAUGGUACCAUAUGAUCAACCUACGAUAUAUCUUGAAAUAGGGAGGAAUGGACUCCUCCAAGGUCCUUGCUGAGAACAGAGGUCAGCUAGAGAAUUUAAACUUAUUUCAUAAGGCCGACUAAUGCUGUUGCAGAGCCUCGAGAUACAGUUCAUCUCCUAAAGCUUUCAGUCAAGGUCAGACUAUCUCUUAGAAGCCUCCUCAAGUCCGCAGAAAGAAGAUCUACAUGUAGUUGACCAUUGUGAGGAAGAAGAAGAGCAAGGAGUGGGUAAAUGCUCCUUACCUCAUCCAUUGCUCUGUGGGGAAGAGUGGUGACUAUAAGGUGCCUUUCUUGAGCUCGAUGGUUGAGGAGGGCAACGAUGAGAAGCUUGUUCUAGGCUAUGGAGUGAUGAUUCUGCUCUAGGCUUUAUAGAGGAGGAAGACUCAAGCAUGUUGGGAUCGACUGAUCACUCAAUAUAUGAGUCUACUACUGUUGCUGCUAUGACGUCACCAAAUGUAGGCCCUGCACUAUGGUAGUCAGUGCUUGGAUCUACUACAGGAGGAUUUGGAACUGCUUAGUGGUGACUGUCAGAUAAUCUGAGCCUCUGAAGGUUGUAGAGCUUUAUGGGAGCUUUGAGGAAAAUUAUUUGACUUCAUUAGUAGUGGUGGGUGCCACUUGUUCGUUCUUAGAUUUUAAGAUGGAUUGAGAUAGAUGAAUGAUCAGAAUCUUAGAUCAGGGGAUCAGGGCCCUUUUUCUAGCAUCAUUUCUAUUGCCACUGAGGAUCGAUCUAGUUUAUACUAUUGAAUUGGAGUUGAUGAGAGAGAUGUGAAAGUGGCAAUCUAGGAAGCUAGGAAGCAACCCAUAAAUCUUAAUAGAACUAUCGAUAGAUGAAUAUUCACUCUUACCUCUAAAAGUGCCCUAAAACACUACAAGCUGAAGAAGUCUUCUUGCCGAAGGUUUUCUGGUAGAGGAUCCUCCAAUGCCUAAGUUAGCUUUCUUUGAUGGAAUAGAGAAGGUUCUAAAUGAGAAUAAAUAAAAGAAAGAAAAAGAAGCUAAAGUCUAUGGGGAGGUUUGAGUGGUGGCUAGAGAGAGAAAUAUAGAGCUUUAUGAGUUCAGAGGAGGCUAGCCCUAUUGGGAUCCUACUUAGUCUAGAACUGUGAGAGACUAUUAGGGAUCUUUUCUAAACUUAUGAAUUAGAUUGGGUGACUUGAUUAGACACUGUGAAAGUUCUUUGAACUAAAAAGGAUUUGGACUUGGAGGGACUUGAAGGGCUCUAGGGAAAGAUUUAUACAGGCAGGAUAGGAAUCUAUCCCAAUCGGUAUCCCAUGCAUUGUCAUGGAUUGUGUGUUAGCUAGUAUAUAUCAAAAUGGAGGCUUUAUAUUGGUAGGGGCCCUUCUUUUGCCAUAUGUAUAGGCUACAUUUUUGUCACAUAUAUAAAUAAUUAUUCCCCCAAAAAAAUUGACGAACCAUUUAGAAGCAUAACAAGAUAACUAAUUAUUCAAACAUUUAAUUCUCAAAACUCUAGAAAAAAAAUAAUAUCCCAUCUCUUUCUCUUACUUAAUAUGUAUAGACUAUACUUUUGCCAUGUGUAUAGAUAAUUAUUCCCCAAAAAGGUAGAUGAACUAUUUAAAAGCAUAACAAGGUAAGUAAUUAUUCAAAAAUUUAAUUCUAUAUAUUGCCAAAUAACCUUUGUCAAUAUUCCAAGAAAAAUAAUGUCCCAUCUCUCCCUCUCUCUCACACACACUUAAUACGGAGGAAAGGAGAAUAACCUCUAGUUUAAUAAUUUAAAUUGUAACAAUUACAGCAUAAUAUACAAUAUAAUACUAUUUAAUACUACCAUAUCACUUAAGAAGAAUAACUCUUAAGUGGUUAAAUUCUAUUAAUUGAAGUUUGAUCCAGUCAAUUUGGUCUCUAUCGAGUUGGAUUUAAAGAUUUUUUUUAGUUACCACUGAAUAAAAUUGGGUUAACAAUCAUCCCAAACAUAGAUUUUAAUAAAUAUAUACAAAUCACAAUAAAUAUACACAAAGCCACUUAAAUUUUGUUGCAAACAUAUAUUUUUUGUUUACUCCAAAAUAUACAUUCCAAAUUCUAUUCAGAUUCUUGAAUGAAAAUAUUAAAAUAUUAGAUUCAUUUUUUUAUUAACCAUUCUUUUUUCAAGUUUAAUGAUAAUAUCAUUUUUUUAAUAUUAGUAGAAUAUAAGCUUAUUCUCUUUUAUUAGAAUUCAGUAAAAAUAUUUAUUAAUAAAAUAAAUAUUUUAUAUAUUCAUUAAAAUAUAUUAUCUUCUAAAUAUUAUACAAUUCAUAAAAAAAUAAUAUUUAAAGAUUAUAUAUUUUAAAUAAAAAAAGGUAUGCUAUGCAUUAUGCAAGCUAUAUGCCAUUUUUUUUUAUUAAGGAAAAUAGAUAGAUUAGGAAGAUGUGUGACCCAUCAAAUAAGCACCAUCGUCAAUCACACCAAAAUGCAUAUACUUUGUCUUAAAACUUAUCAAUCUUUUUUUGGGAACAUAGACCAUUGGAUCCCGCUAUGCAUGGAUCUCUUUAUGUAUAGAUCUCAAAGCACUUCAGUGUUGUUAUUUAUGUACCUACACAUAACUCAAAGUGACUAUUGCAUGAUCAAAUGGUGGAUUCAUAUGAAAGAAGGUAAAUCAAUGGUAGCUGCACAUAUCUCAUCAUAAACAUUCCACUAUGUUAGAUGCCAUCGUAUCUCAAAGUUCGAGAUAGCCAUUCAUAGUUAGCACAAAGAUUAACUGUUAUGUGCAUCAAACCUAUUGUUGCAAGACUCCAAUGGUGGAUUCACACAAAAGAAGGCCAAUCAAUGGUAGUUGCACAUAUCUCAUCAUAAACAUUCCACUAUGUUAGAUGCAAUCGUAUCUCAAAGUUCGAGGUAGCCAUUCAUAGUUAGCACAAAGAUUAACUAUUAUGUGCAUCAAACCUAUUGUUGCAAGACUCUAGUUCGAAGCAGAUGUGGCUGAGGUCAAACUCCUUUUAAUCCAGGAGGUUGACGCCAAUCCGAAGGCUGGGAUGCCAAGUGUAACUUGCAUGAGAAGUCUACUCUCAUCGAAGGUUUCUCAGUGGGGGACUCUCUGAUAUGUAAGUCAGCCGAAGCUUGAGAACAAUAGAGAAAAGAGAAUAAGAGAGAGAGAGAAAGAGCCAAGGGAUGUUCUUUGGACUUGAGCUUAUCUAAGGGUCCCUUGUUAUCUCUUUAUAUAGAAAUGAAGCUAUAAGUUUUAACAUCGGAACUUAGUAGGCCGUUAGGCCUUAAUUCUCUAUGCUACUAGGCCUCAACUUGACAGGCUGUUGAGACAAAGAAUUCAUCUGCUAACCUACAAAUCAGGAAUGUUAGUCAUGGAUAUCAGUUGUAGGUUGUGCCCACAUUUUCAAAGUUGUUGGUAGGUUCCAUGGAUCAUCUAGAUGGAUGAAUAGACCAAUGUCUUGAUGUCGGUGUUGAGCCAAGGCUCUGCCUUGAAUCAGCACUCAUGUAGAUUACUAGACUCUGUUCCUUGUCAUCAGUAGGAUCUUGACUUGGGUUCGGUAAAUAUCCAAUUAAGAGGUCAGAGAGAAGUUGAUGACAUAAAAUUGCUUUGCCCUAGCUUCUUAGAUCUUUCUUUGAUACCCAAGGUUUCCCCAUCGAUGAGUGCUCAGAUGUAAUCUGAGGAGGGAAAGGUCGGGUCAGAUGGUAAGUUUCAGGCACUGUAGUGUAAUAGUUUGAGAAAGGACAUCCGGAGAUUACUUUUAGGCUUGUUAGGGUCUGCCAUAUGUUGGAUGCCGGUAGGCCUUGCACUAUAUCCUAUGGAUCAACUUACAUGGCUCGAUUUGAAGGUGGCAUGAUGAAGAGUCACAUGAUCCGAUGGUCUUAAUAUGCAUUAUUUUUAAUGUUGCAAUCCCUAAAAUGAUAUUUUGUUGAAAGGGGUGCUUGGAGCACCCUUACUUGGAAGGCACGACCUUUGCAGUCAUUGGGGUUAUAACACCUGGCACCUAAUUAGGGUGGUGAUGGGUGCAUCCAGGCUUGGGUCCUCUAUAAAUGGAAGGGGCUUGUUGUCUGGGGAUGAGCUCAUCCCCUUUAGCCUUCAUGAUGUUGCUAUUACAGCCUCCCACUGAGGAUCUGAUAAUCACCGACAUCUGCCUUUCCAUGUAUUUUUGCACCCUUUGCUGGCUAUAAGGUGCCCAAAAGAGGUGUGCCCAUGGGUGUUCUAACUAAACUUGGGAGGUAUUGAAAAAUUAUCACCGCUCUGGCUAUGGUACCAUGAUCGACAUUGGAGCCGCAUCAGUUUCUAGUCUAGAUGAGGAGCAAGUGACUGCAAGAGAGGGUCUUCUCAGCAUUGAGCCCCUUAGGAAGAUCUUAAACCUUUCUAUGUGGUAGUCUUUUGCUCCCAAGCUAGCUUUUCGGCCCUCCUAAAAUGAAUAUUGGGGAGAUGGAUGGAUCCUAAGGGUAAGUUGGCCCCAAGGAACCAUGUCGUCCAUGAUACCCUUUGGUAUGGACUGGUGACUACCUAGAAAAUUUUUUUUAGAUGAGGCUUUGAAUGCCGCCAAGGACCCUCUUGGAUAGGUUGCCGACCUUACUACCAAGCCUCUAUUUGGGGAUCUUCAUUGAACUUGUACCUUUUGUUUUCUUCUUUGUUAUAACAAACUUUCUUUGAAAUAAAUACGACUUUUCUUUGAAUGAAAUAAAUUUCUUUACCAUCUUAUGUGUUGAGCGGUCUCAGUUUUUGGGAUUGGUUGUUCAUUUAUCCUGCAUGGACAUCAGCUCAAAUAUUGAUCGAUCGGGCUAGUGGUACAGAGGGAAUCCUUAGUUUGGAUCUGGGUCCGAGGUUAUUAUAUCUGAAGUCACAAUAUCUGAUGUCAAUUCCAAAGAUGUGAUAUUUAAAGUUGGUCUGAGCUCGAUCCUUGGCAAGAAGUUUUGCCAAGUCGAUGAUGUUGUGUUUGUCCGACCAUCAUUGUGUGCUUAGAGAGACACUAGCAAGGAUUCACCCGAGGUUGAUGCGAAGUUGAUAUAUAGUAAUAUUUUUGUCAAGUUAUUGCCCAAAGGGUUAGUCCUUUCAUUAUCAUCCUCGACCUCCACUCAAUUUAUCCGAGGAUGAGGAGUACUGAUUGGUCAUGAGAGAUUCCUGGAGAAUUAGCCCCUUCAUCAUUGUCCUCAGUCUCUGCUUGAUUUAUUCAAGGACGAGGAGCACUGAUUGGCCAUGAGGGGUACCUAAAGGGUUAGACUUUUCAUUGUCAUUUUUGACCUCCACUCGACUCAUUUGAGGAUGAGGAGUGCCAAUUAGCCAUGAGGGGUCCUCAGAGGGUUAUCUCCUUCACCAUCAUCCUCGAUCUCCACUUGACUCAUUUGAGGAUGAGGAGUGCUAAUUGGCCAUGAGGGUCGUCCAGAGAGUUAGCCCCUUCGUUAUCAUCCUGGACCUCCAUUCGACUCGUCUGAGGAGGAGGAGCGUCAACUGGCCAUGAGGGGUCCCUAGAGGGUUAGCCCCUUAUAUAGAGGUCCUAACUUAGGUUAGGAUAUCUUCAUGAUUGGUGCUUUACCGAUCAUUGAUUUGGACGUCUUAGUAGUAGAUGAGAUAUCUCUAAGAGGUCGACACCUUCUGACCUAGUCAUGGGGUCCAAAUCAAAGUUUGAAUAUCCCAUAUUCAAUCAUUUUUUUGAGGAUCAAGGUUUGCCUUAGUUGUCUCAUAUGCAUUUUGCUAGGCUUCAUGGUGUCUUCGACUAUUUUUGGUGACUUUGUUGGUAGUCGAGUAUUUUAUUUGGUUGCUCUAAUAAGAGACAUGCAUCAAAACUUAGGAGAGCACUUUUAUCGAUAAAUCCAAUGGACAUACAACUUACUGGUAGUAUAUUCUUUAGUAGUUGUGUAUUUUACCUGGUUAUAAGAGACCUGCAUCAAAGCUUAGGAGAGCACUUUUAUCUACAAAUCCAAUGGACAUACCACUUACUGGUAGUAUAUUCUUAGGUUUUGGGCAUUCUAUAUUGGAGGGAUGGGAGUCCCAUCAAGGACUUCAAUUUUGUAGGCCCCAAGCAUGAUGACCUCAGCAACCUUGUAGGGCUCCUCUUAGUUCAUAGCUAAUUUAUCUUGUUCUAUUAGUUUAGACACCUCAGCUUGGUUGAAGGAUGAGGUCCUUUAAUUAAAUUUUUUUCGACCUGACCCAUGCAUUUAUUCACUACUGGUACGAUGCCAUCCUAAUUCGAGCCCAUUUUUGGAUUUCUUCAAGCAAGUCAAGGUUUGUCUGAAGUCAGCUUGGAUUCUCCUGCUCAUUGUCAUGCUCCACCCUACUCACUGGAUUUUAAUGGGAAUGACUACUUCGGUGCCAAAGGUGAGGUUACAUGGCAUCUCCUCGAUAGGUGUCCAUGGAGUCAUCUGGUAGGCCCAGAGCAUGCUAUAAAGUUUCUCAACCAUAAUGCUUUAGCUUGAUCGAGCCUUGACUUCAGCCCUUGUAGGAUUGUAUUACCUGUCACCUAGGCUUCUCCAUUUGACUAUGGGUGGCCAACCGAUGUAAGCCUGUGAUUGAUAUAUAACUUGAAGUAGAACUAUUUGAAUUUUAGAUUAUCGAAUUGUCAUCCAUUGUCGAUGAUAAUGGCGUGCAGCAAUCCGAGCCUACAAAUAAUAGAUUUUCAAACAAAGUUCUAGACCUUUUUUUGGAUGAUCUAAGCUAAGAGCUCACUUCCACCUACUUGGUGAAAUAAUAAAUCAUGAUGAUUAAAAACUUUCUUUAUCCCAUUUCCAGUGGGAAUAGUCUAAGGAUAUCUACUCCCCACAUGGUGAAGGGCCAUGAGGUGAUGAUUGGCAUAAGAUCAGUCACUGGUCUCUGCUAGAUAUUGGCAUAUUUUUGGUAUUGUUCUUAUUUUUUGAUGAGGUCUGCUAUGUCUUGCUACAAAGCCAGCUAAAAAAUAUAUUUGGUAGAUCACUUUGUAGGCUAGUGACCUACCCCCUAAGUGAUUGCUAUAAAUUUCUUCAUGAAUUUUUUGAAGAGCAUAAUCGACUUUGGUCGGCCUUAGGCACCAGUAGAGGCAGUGAGAACAACUUUUUGUAGUCUUCCUUCUAGGUAGACAUACUUGAGGGCUUGCUACUUGAUCCUCCAAGCCUCGAUAGGGUCGGUCGGCAAGACUCCAUCGAUGAGGUAGCUAAUCAAAGGAUCUAUCCAACUCGGCUUGUGGUCAACCUCUAGGAUAGAUGGUUCUUCUUUGAUGCUUGGCCUUUGCAGAUGCUCAAUGAAGACUCAUCUAUUGAGAUCGGGGCAUCCUGAAGUAGCAAGAUAAGACAAUGCAUAUGCUUAGACAUUUUUUGACCUGAAUAUCUGUUGCACCUCCAUAUUUUGAAAAGUCAUUGAAAGCUCUUUGAGCUUUUGCAAAUAGUGAAUUACCUUCGAUCCUCAAGCUUCAUAUUCUUGGAUUUGUCCAAUGAUAUGUUGCAAGUCGAUGAAGACCCUUGGGUCCUUUAUUCCGAGCUCUUUUGUAAUGCUGAGGCUUGCAACCAGAGCUUUGUAUUUGGCCUUAUUACUAGAGGCACCAAAGUUGAAUGAAAAGCAUACUCCAUCACAGCUCUUUUUGAGCUUGCAAAAAUGAGCUUGGCUCCACAUCCCUAGAAAUUUGAAGCUCUAUAUAUAUGAUGGAUCUAGCAUUGAGGCUCUAUUUCCUCGGAUGGUAUGGUAUUCAUGUCCUCACCUGGUAUAGUGCAUUCCAUAAGAAAGUUGGCCAAAAUCUGAGUUUUCAUUGCCGAUUUGGGAUGAUAGUGGAUAUCGUGUCCCCCAAGCUUGAUCCUCUAUUUUACCAUCCGCCUGGAGGUGUCAAGCCUUCAAAGAAUCACCUUCAGGGGUGAUUCAUCUGGACGAUCACCAAGUGGGCUUAAAAGUAUGGUAGGAGCCCCUGCAUAGUGGUGAUGAGCACAUAAAUCAUCUUCUCAACUUUUAAGUAUCGCGUCUCUGUGUCUUGGAGGAGCUUCCUGGUAUAGUAGAUUAGAUUUUGGCUCCCAGUGUCUUCUCGGAUGAGCACCGAACUAACAAUGAUAGAUAAGACUGACAAAUGUAAAUAUAAAUCCUCAUCUAUCAUUGAACUAGAGAGCAGCAGGGGUGAUCCAAGGUAAUGUUUGAGCUUGUUGAAUAUUAUUUGAUAUUCUUCAGACCACUUAAAGCUUUUCAUUUGUCUAAGGACUUUGAAGAAUGAGAGGCACUUCUCGAUCGACCUCGAAAUGAAUGGAUGAAAGGCAGCCAUGCAACCCAUCAAUUGUUGCACAUCCUUCUUCGCCCUUGUGUGCUUCAUCUCCAUCAGCACUUGAAUUUUCUCUCGAUUUGCCUCGAUCCAAUAUUGGGUCACCAUAAAUCCUAAGAACUUAUUUGAAGUCACCUCAAAGGUGCAUUUGUUAGUGUUAAUCUUUAUUUGGUUCUACCUCAGCUCACCAAAUGCCUCUUUUAGGUCGGUAAUGUACCAGUCAGUCUUAGGGCCUUUGACCGGCAUGUUGUUAAAUAGACUUUCAUUUUGUGUCUGAUUUGAUAUUUGAACACCUUAUUGAUGAGGCAUUGGUAUGUAGCUUCUACAUUUUUUAAUCCAAAAAGCAUCAUUUUAUAAUAGUAUAAAUUUUUAUUAGUUAUAAAUGUGAUCUUCUCUUCAUCUUUAUGAAGAAAAUCCCAUCUCAUGAGUUUCGAUAUGCAUAUAAAAAUUUUAAAAAUUUAAUCUAACAGAGAUCAUAGUGGAAUAAAAAUUUCAAAUCUGAAUUCUCAAUAUCGUUCUAAGACAACCAUUGAGCGUAACUUUUAACCAUUAUCCUAAGACAAUCUUAUAUCAGAAUGAUUUAAAAAUUUAGAUUAAUAAUUAGAUAUAAUCUAACUAGCAUACAUAAAGAGAUCACAUCUCAAAUAAAACACCAGAUAUCAAUAUUAAGUACAAAAUUAAAGAUCUAAAAGAGAAUCUAAAUUUAUAUCUUUACGUGGGUAGAUCUUCACCACGAUCCGAUGGUCCAUAGAUAUCUUCGAGGUCCCAUUAUGGUCGCAUAAGUGUUCGAUCUCUACAGAUAUUCAUCGAAGUUGAUCUGAUCAGGAGGUCUCGAUCUCAUCGAGGUGAUAGCUCUCAUACAGAGAUCUCUUUCUGGAUUGUCGAAUUGAUUUAAUUUUUUGAUCCUCUUCUCAAGAGAAUCAAAUAGAUCUGAAAGAGGAGGACAAAAUCAGAACACAUCUGAUUCUAUUUUUUAUUUUUUCUUCUCAAGAGAAAAUAUGAAGAUUUAUGGAAGAAGACAAGAGAUCAAAUCUCUUUCUUCUUCCUUCUUGUCCAACCUUUGGACUAGAUUUACUAAAGGUAGAGGAGAAUCGUCCAUCUCAUGGACCAAGAAGGAGAAAAAAAUCAGAUCAAAUUUGAUUUUAUUUAUGUCCAACUCUUGGACAUCUUUUGAAGAGAAGGAGAAGGAAAAGGAGAUAUGUCCAACCUUUGGACAAAGGAGAGAGAGGGAGAGUUACCUAUCAACAACCAACUCUUGGUUGUUAGAAAGAAGGAUGAAGGGAGAAGAUGCCACAAAGCCAAACGCAUGCCCUUAUUCCCUUUUGCAUGAAAUCAUAUCUCACAUCCUCCUUUUUUAUCAUGCCCCCUUUUUUGAUCUCCUCUAAUCUCACUUAGGGAGGUGCCCCACUUAUCCCUAUUUAAACCUAGGUUAGUUAGGGUUUAAGAAAGAGAUAAACUAGGACUCUAUCUCUUAGUAGUUGCCGCCCCUUCUCAUGAUCACCUUUUUUUAAGGUGCCCACAAUAUUUCUCGUCAAAUAGUUUCAUUUCAAAACUAAGAAGAGGUGCCAUAAAAUAAGAGAAGAAUCCUUCUGCAUGUUGUCCUCUUAUAGAUAAGAUCCAAUUUGAUUCGGGUUCAAAUCCAAAUUGGUUUGGUUAUCACAUUAAGUCAACUACUUAAUUAUGUCUAAACCUUUUAGACUUAUAAAACUUAAUCCAAGUCAAAUUAGGAUCAUAUCUAAUCAAAUUAAAUCUGAUUUAAUUUGACUAGGACCUUAUCUUAAUCAAAUAUGGCUAAAGAUUAGGUCAAACCUAAUUUAGAUAGAUUUGGGUCAAGUAUUCAUUAGGUCUAAUCUCAUUAGACUUAUGAAACCUAAUUUGAGUUAAACUCAAAUUAAAACUAAUCAAAUUAAAUCUAAUUUAAUUUGAUUAGGAUCCAAUCCUAAUAUUUGAUCAAAUCAAAUAAUAUGCAAUAAUUAUAAUUUAGUUUUCUUAUAACUUACUAACUCUUAGUAAGUCCUCAAUGUAACUUCUACAUUUUAGUCCAAUCAUCAAUCAAAUUGAUAAUUAACAUCACUUAUGAUUUGUGAUUCAAAAUUAUGAUUCAAAAUUCGAUCAGUUAAGAUCUCUUUUAUGUAUGAUCUCAUAAAUUUUAUUCUAUCUGCUAGUGAAAAAUAUUUUGAUCACCAUCAAAAUAUCAUUAAAAUUCUUUUUAAUAGAUUGAAAUAAUUUUAACUCACCAAUCGAGAAUUAUUGAUCAUCAAAAUAAUUUUCGUUGAUUUCAUAAUCCAUCAGUGAUGCCUAGCAGCAUGUAGUGGUAACCCAAUAGAAAGGUGUAGUUACCGUAUAAUUUAGUUCUUCUAUCGUGAGUUCUGACAAGACGGAGGUUGUGAAAAACUUAUCAAACCCCAUCAUCUGUCAUAUAUAAGAUUUAUUCGACUUGAUUUUAUUUAUGAAAUUUGAUGAAAAUUCUUUUCAAUCAUUCACUCUUUCCAGAUCUAGAUCUUUUGAACUCAGUCUCAUAAAGCACAUAGAAUUUUUCCUUAAAUACUAAGUUGAUAGAUUCUAUCUAAAUGCACAAUCUGUUCCUACAAUGAAUGUACUAUAGCCAACUUACACCUCAAGAUUCCGUAUGGUUAGGAGAUCGAGUUAUAGUAUAGUCAAACUACAGUAACCUUACUAUGAGUAGUCGAGGCACUGUAGGUCAAAGAACUACUCACACUACUAUAGCAUCGAAAAUGUUAUUGAUGAGUGAGUAGACAUCCAAAUGACUUCUCAUAUUGGUCACACUCAGUAUCGUUGUUCUCUAACAACCGCCUACACUCUCGCUCUAGUGUCCCCACACUGUAGACUCAAGACUCGUCUAUCUUAAGAAAAGUGAUCCGUGGAUCAAUUUUAUUGGAUCAUUCACCAUCCCCAUGAGGAUCCUUCGAUCAAGAGUAAUUUGAGAAUUAACCAUCAAUGACACACAUACCUCAAAUUUUUAAAUUUUGAGAAUAUGUGUCAUUAUCUUAUUAAUUUUUUGAACAAUUCAUGGACACAUAUACUAUAUGAAUAAAAUUAACUGUCUUAAUUAAUUUAAUCAAAUAUAAAAGUAUAUCUUUAAAAGAAUUAAUAUGUCAGUCUGAUUGACUUUUAGGACAUACAUCUAACAAUCUUUCACUUGUAUUAAAGCUAAUCCGCCAUAAACCUAAGUUCUAUCUUCUCAAGAUGUGCUUUAGUCAUAGCUAGCUAAUCAUUUAGUCAGUGGGCUUACCAUGUUUCUGUGCGAUCUACUCUUAUCCUUAAAGUCUUAUCUUUCAAAAUAAUCAUGAAUCAUCACUUUUAUAUGUUAAGAACUCUAGUGAGACCUCGACUCUUUAGCUAGAGUUAUGACGCCAUCAUUACCGAAGAACAAUAUUGUGCUAUCUCAUGACAUUACAUGUGGUUUUGCAAUAAACCAGAAUGCUUCCUUAGCUACCUCAUAAGCAACGACAUACUCGACUUCUAAAAUCUGCAAUGAUCGAUUGUUUGAAACUUUUUCAAUUUACUGAAUCUUAUUGCAUAAGAAAAUACAUCCUGAUGUAGACUUUCUACCAUCAACAUCAGACUUAAAGUCUGAAUUAUGAAUCUUUUUAUCCUUUAAUUUUUCUUCUCCUUCCAAAAAUUAUGAACAUAUCUUAAGUACUUCUCAAGUACUUAGAAAUAUUUUCACAGCUAUCCAAUGCUCUCAGCCUAGAUUCAAUCGAUAUUUGCACAUGACACUCACAGUAAGAACUACAUUGGUUUGUGUGCAUAGUAUGACAUAUAUAAAGCUUCCUUUAGCCAAAUUAUAAAGAUCUAGCUCAUGUACUGAAUCUCCUCAAAUGUGUCAGAACGUAUCUUCUGAGAGAGAUCAGUCUCAUGCUUAAAGGGUAGAAACCUUUCUAGGAGUUAUCCAUGCUGAACUCUUUUAGCACAUUCUCUAUACAUAUUUUUUAUAAAAAAAUUAGCAUCUCCUUAGGUCUAUCUCAUAAAUCCAGAUCUAUCUCAUUAAUCUUUAUUAGACAUUUCUCGAGAUCCUUCAUGGAGAAUUUGUUUAGACAAUCAUAUUUUAAACCGAUAUCAGCAUAGGAAUAAUUUUUUUAAAUAGGAGGAUGUCAUCUACAUAUAAUAUGAGGAUAGUGAUAAUACUCCCACUGACCCUUUUAUAAAUACAUAUUUUUCUUAUGGAACAUUUGAUCACAUCAAAUGAUUUCAUCACAUCAAAUUCAUGUUCCUUGUCUCCUUCAAGGAACAUUUCCUUUAUGUCCUCCAUCAAAAUAUCUAAAUAUUUUUCAGUAGGACAGGAGAUUAUGAAAUAAAGGAGGGACUACAUGUACUAGCUCAAUAUGAAUAGGUUCUAUCACUCAUUGCUCUUAAGAGAUUUUUUGUUUUGAACUCAGUCUUUCUCCUAUUAUUCUAUCUUGGACAAACUAUUUCUUUAAGAACAUAGUAUGUCAGGUCACAAUCAUAUUGUCAUUCUCUAGAAAAAAAUUAGUAUUUCUAAAACUCUUUAGGAUAUUAGAAAAAUAAGUCUCAUAGACCUAACCUCUAACUUGAUCCACAUGUCAACACUUGACAUGGACCGAACAUCCUAAACAUGCCACAUCUCAUACGGCAUGAUAGGAAAGACUUAGAGAAAACUCUUAUUCAUUAAAUAAAGCUUAUUCCUAAAGAACAUAAGAAAAAAUCAAUGAUGCUCAUCAUGGAUCAGACUAUAUCGAAUAGAGUCCUAUUCCUGCUCUUGAUACCCCAUCAAGUUGAGGUGCACUAAGAAGAGUUUAUUGUAAGACUAUAUCAUUUUCUUAAAAUAGGUUAGAAACUUUUACUAAGGCAUACACCUCUUCGAUCUCAUCGAAGAACUUAAAAAUUUUUUAAUUUAUUUCUUUACUUUAUAUCUAAAUUUUUAAAAUUUUCAAACUUUCAGAUUUGUGUCUCACAUAUAUACCUAUACUCUGAACAGUCACCAAUAUAAGUAAUGAAGUAAAGAGAAUCACCUCUUAUCCAGCUUAUUAAAUAGGCUGCAUACAUCAGAAUAUAUCAAGAUAAGUAUUUUGGUGGUCCUCAUCCUAUGUCCCACAAUGAAUGGUUUGGCCAUCUUUUUUUGAAGGCAGAAUCCAUAAAUCAGAAACGACUCGAGAGUCGAUGAGCUUAGAAGCUCAUGCUUUUUCAAUUUAUUCAUUAUAUUCUCUUCAAUAUGAUCAAACCUGAGGUACCACAUAUACUUCAGAUUUAUCUCAUCUAUGAAUCUCUCAGAUCCUAUGGCACUCACUAUCUGCUUAGGUACUAAUAUCAAGCAGAUCCAAUAUGCCUUCUGAAGGCAUGUUCCUUUUUCUUUUCUUUAGGUUCUCCAAGUAUAUAGGAACCCUUUCUCUUGAACUCUUUAACAUCCCAUCAAUAGUCAUCAACUUAACCAAGGUGCAAUCAAUUUUAUUCAUGUGAUAGUUUGCUAUAAACUUUCAUAUGAAUUGGUAAGGGAUUACAGGAUCAAAUUCAUUCUCAAUUCCUUAUGCUUGGACAUACUGAUCUUCUCAAGCUCAUUCAAGUCCUUAAUUGUUAUCAAAUAAUGAUUAUGAAUUGAUUGCCCUUUGAUCAAUGUCUGAUGGUUUAGUGACAUAAGGAAGGAUAUCUUGAUUAGCUCAACUUCUUAAAACUUAAAACUAUUUUAGGUUUCUGAGUCAGUCUAUAUAACUUGAUUGGUUAGUUAAUUGGUUCUAAAUUUAUGAGGAUUGAAAGUUGAUUUUUAAUUCUAUUAGAGAGUAGAGAUUUUAGUUAAAUAUUUAUACUUGAUUUUAAAUUUAUUCUAGAGACUUUUAAAAUAAAUUGGCUCUCAUUAUUUUCUUGAAUCUCUUAUACUCCUCGAGUAGAGAGACAAAAAUCCUUCGCGAUAAGAAAUUCUAGUAGGUACUAUGGUCCCAUCGAUUGGCACAUCACCUCAUUUGAUAAAUUUUGAUGAAUGUGUCAAUCAAUGAGUGGAUAACUCUUGUCCAAUGCUUCUUAAGUAAAUUACAAUAGACUUGAUCUCUAAGUUCUCAAACCUCAUCUAACAGAUUUUGAUCUUAUUUCUUAGUUAAGUUGGACCCACCAUUGAGCACGAGUGAAGCCGUCAUUGGAUUCUCACCUAACAGAUUUUGGGCCCAACCCCAUCUUUACCCUACAGCAUCUCAUGCCAAUGAGUGGUUGCUUCUCUUCUAAUGCAAUUGAACCACUGUUUCUAAUCGAGAACAGUCAACAUCGAAGGGGGCAUGAUAUUUUACAAUAGUGGAAGACCCUACGACUUAAUAUUGAAUGAGAAGAUUUAAUUUAGAUCUCUUUAAUUUUAAUUAUUUAUUUAUAUCCGAUGUAAAUUUAUAAUUAACAUGGACUUACUAGAGAGAUCCUAACUUGAAUCACUAAGAUCAAAUCAAAGCUCAACUGCAAUAUAUGUGGUGAACUCAAACUUAGGCACCCAAUGAGAAACUUAAUCAAUCAAAUUGGCUAGGUAAGUUCAAGAUAGAUGAGAGGCUCCCUAUGCAUGAGCAACGGUCCUAAUUAAGUAACCACUAUUCUAUCCCUUGCCUUAGACAACAAUUGAUUAACCUGUUCAAAUUGGUUCAAUCCAAUUGGUUUAUCUCGCUAUGGAUUGUAAAUUACUAACCAAAUUAUUAUGCAUUCAUGAUACAAUCCUACUUCAAGGGUUUGUAGUGAUUCAAGGUGAUCACUACAAGUAUCCAUGGAAGACACGGGCAUGACUAUCAUAUAGUCCUUAUGAUCAUCUCAUAAUCUUUGUGAUUAUUAUAUAAUCCAUUAUGUUCAUGCUAAAAUUUUUUAUGAUAUUUCAUCAAACUCUUUUCAUCCUAGGACAAUUUUACAAUAUAACGAUCCUCAUUAUGCCAGGAUAACCUUAUGUCAGGAUAAACUUAGAUUGACUCGAUUCAUUUUAUCUUAUGUUCAAUCAAAUUACUCUAAUUUGAAUGUAUUUAUACUAUCAUUGAUCAUAUCAAGAUAGAUCUCUAUCUAUGAACAUCAUCUCAUUCAUGAACAUAUAAUAAAGAUAGAAUUCAAAUGUAAUAAAAUUCAUAUCUCAUGUAAAUUAGAUUCAAAAUUUUAGAUAUAUGAACAUUAAGAUAAAAUAUAUAUCUAAAAAUUUUUGAUUAAUCAAGACAUCACAUGACUAUCAAUAAUCAUUAAUUUUAGAUUAACAAUCAUAAGAAAUUAAAUUUUUAGAUUUGAAAAUAAUUUUUAGAUCUCAAAAGUAAUCGCAUGAAUAUAAAUUAAUCUGAAUUUUAGAUCUAAAAAUAAUUUUUAGAUCUUGAAAUCCAUCACAUGAAUUUUAGUCAUUUAGAUUUUAGAUUUGAAAACUAAUUUUUAGAUCAUAAAUUCCAUCUCCUUGAUCACGAACAUUCUUAAUUUCAGAUCUGAAAAUCAAAAUUUUAAAUAUAAAAUCAUCUUCAUGAUCAAAUAAAAUUUAGAUUUUUAGAUUUGAAAAUAAUAUUCAAAUCUAAAAUUUAGAUCUCAAUCUUGCAUUAAUAAGAUGACUCAAUACCACUUGAAGAAAAUUUCAUCUCAUGGGUUUCGAUAUGUAUGCAGAAAUUUUAAAAAUUUAAUCUAAUAGAGAUCACAGCGAAAUAAAAAUUUCAGAUAUGAAUUCUCAACAUCAUUCUAGGAUAACUAUUCAGCAUAACUUUUAACCAUCACGUCAGGACAAUCUUAUAUCAGAAUAAUUUAAAAUUUUAAAUUAAUAAUUAGAUCUAAUCUAACUAGCAUACAUAAAGAGAUCAUAUCUCAAAUAAAAUAUCAGACAUCAAUAUUAAAUACAAGAUUGAAGAUUUAGAAGAGAAUCUAAAUUUAUACCUUUGCAUGAAUAAAUCUUCACCGUAAUUCGAUGGUCUUUGGAUGUCUUCAAGGUUUUGUUGUAGCUGCAUAAGUAUCCGACUUCUACAAGUAUCCAUCGAGACUGAUCUGAUCAGGAGGUUUUGAUCUCACCGAAGUGUUAGCUCUCUUACAGAGAUCGCUCUCUGAAUUAUCAAAUUGGUUUGAACUUUUGAUCCUCUUCUCAAGAGAAACAAAUAGAUCUAAAAGAAGAGGAUGAAAUUCGAUCACAUCUGAUUUCUUUUUUUCUUUUCUCUUCUUAAGAAAAAAUAUGAAGAUCUAUGGAAGAAGAUAAAAGAUCAAAUCUCUUUCUUCUUCCUUCUUAUCCAAUACUUGGACUAAAUCUAGAAAAGAUAAAGGAGAACCGUCCAUCUCAUGGACUAAGAAGGAGAAAAGAAUUAGAUCAAAUCUAAUUUUAUUCAUGUCCAACUCUUGGACAUCUUUUGAGAAGAAGGAGAAGGAGACAUAUCCAAUCUUUAAACAAAGAAGAGAGAGGGAGAUUUACCUAUCAACAACCAACUCUUGGUUGUUAGAAAGAAGGAUGAAGGGAGAAGAUGCCACAAAGCCAAACACACGCCCUCAUUCUCUUUUGCGUGAAAUCAUAUCUCAUGUCCUCCUUUUCUCUCAUGCCUCCUUUUUUGAUCUCCUUUAGUCUCUCUUAGGGAGGUGCCCCACUUAUCUCUAUUUAAACGUAGAUUAGUUAGGGUUUAAGAAAAGGAUAAACUGGGACUCUAUCUCUUGGUAAUCGCUGCCCCUUCUCAUGAUCUCCUAUUUUUAGGGCACCCACAAUAUUUCUCGUGAAAUAAUUCCACACCAAAACUAAGAAGAGGCACCACAAAAUAAGGGAAGAGUCCUUUUUCAUGUUGUCCUCUUAUAGAUACGAUCCAAUUUGAUUUGGGUUCAAAUCCAAAUUGGUUUGGGUUAUCACAUUAAAUCAACAACUUAAUUAUAUCUAAACCUUUUAGACUUAUGAAACUCAAUCCAAGAUAAAUUAUGAUCAUGUCUAAUCAAAUUAAAUCUAGAUUAAUUUGACUAGGACCUUAUCCUAAUCAAACAUGGCUCAAGAUUAGAUCAAACCCAAUCUAUAUAGGUUUGGAUCAAGUAUUUAUUAGGUUUAAUCUUAUUAGACUUGUGAAAUCUAAUUUGAGUCAAACUCAAACCAAAACUAAUCAAAUUAAAUCUGAUUUAAUUUGAUUAGGAUCCAAUCCUAAUAUUUCAUCAAAUCAAUUAAUAUGCAAUAAUUAUAAUUUAGUCCUCUUAUAACUUACUAACUCUUAGUAAGUUCUCAACGUAAUUUUUAUAUUUUAGUCCAAUCAUCAAUCAAAUUGAUAAUUAAGAUCACUUGUGAUUUAUGAUUCCAAAUCUUGAUUCGAUGAUCUGAUCAGUCAAGACCUCUUUUAUGUGUGACCCCAAAGGUUCUAUUCUGUCUGGUAGUGAGAAAUAUUUUGAUCACCAUCAAAAUAUCAUUAAAAUUUCUUUCAAUAGAUUAAAAUAUUUUUAACUUAUCAAUCAAAAAUUAUUAAUCAUCAAAAUAAUUUUUAUUGAUCCUAUAAUCCACCAGUGAUGCUUAGCAGCAUGUAGUGACAAUCUAGUAGAACAAAAAGAUGAGCCUCUAGGUGUAGUUACUAUGUGAUUCAAUUCUUCUAUCAUGAGUCUCGAUUAGAUGGAGAUUAUAAAUAAUUCAUCAAACUUCAUCAUCUGUUAUAUGUAAGAUUUAUUUGAUUUGAGUUUAUUUAUGAAACUUGAUGAAAACUCUUUUCCAUCAUUCACUCUGUCUAGACUUAGGUCUUCUGAACUUAAUCUCAUAAAUUAUAUAGAACUCCUCCUUAACUACUAAGAUCGAUAGAUCUUAUUUAGGUGCACAUCCUAUUCUUAUAAUAAAUCUACUACAGCCAACAUAUAUCUCAAGACUUCGUAUGGCUAGAAGAUCGAGUUGUGGUAUGGUCAAACUAUAGCAAUCUCACUGUGAACAGCUGAGACACUGUAGGUCAAAAAAUUACUCACACUACUACAGCAUCGAGAAUGUCACUGAUAAGUGAGUAGACAUCUAAGUGACUUCUCAUGUUGGUCAUACUUGAUAUUAUUAUUUUCUAAUAACUACCUGCACUCUCGCUCCAAUAUCCCUACACUAUAGACUCGAGACUCGUCUAUCCUAAGAAAAGUGAUCCGUGCACCAAUUUUAUUGAAUCAUUCACCGUUCCCAUGAUAAUUAUUCGAUCGAAAGUAAUUUGAGAAUUAACUAUCAAUGAUACAUGCCUCAAAUUCUCAAUUCUUGAGAAUAUGUAUCAUCAUCUUAUUAAUUCUCUAGAUGAUUCAUGGAUACAUACACUACAUGAAUGGAAUUAACUAUCCUAAUUAAUUUAAUCAAGUAUAAAAUUAUAUCCUAGAAAGAAUUAAUGUAUCGGUCUGAUUGGCUUCUAGGGCAUACAUCUAACAUUUUGGAUGCCAUCUAAAUCUAAUUAUAUCCUAAGAAGGUGUCCAUGAAACUUCAGACUUGAUGUCUCGAAAUGGCAUCUACAAGUUGGUCAAUCCUUGAAAGAGAAAAGUUAUCCUUCAAGCAUACAUUGUUGAGGUCAGUGUAGUUGAUGCAGAUCUACCAUUUACCUACUUCAUCAUUAUAAUGUUGGUGAUCUAUUCCAGGUAAUGGGCUUCUCGAAUGAAUCCUGUCAUUAGAAAUUUAUCAACUUCCUUCUCAAUUAUUAGUUGUCACUCUGAGGUGAAGUUCCUCUUCUUCUACCAAACUGGACAAUGAUUUGGGUCCAUGUUCAAUUGGCGCACAAUUUCAUCAAAGGGUAUAUCUAAUAUGUCAAAUGCUGACUAGGCGAAGAUGCCUUCAUUGGCUUGUAGGAACGUCAUCAGUCGAUCUAGCAAAUUUGGUGCUAGUUGUACUCCGAGUUGGAUCGUUUUGCUCAGAUCAUCCCCAAAUGGAAGCAUGAUAUGUUGCUUGGUUGGUUCAUCUUGAACUUCCUCUGCCUCAUACCUGUGGUCUUUAAGUGGUGGAGCUCCAUUGGUCGUCUUUCCUUCGUCAUUGCCAAGAAGCACUGUGAGCAAGCUAUUGGUCUCCUCAAACUUCUCCGAUGCCAUUCUUAGUUGGGAACUUCAUGAGCAAGUGGUACAUAAAGACUAUAGCCGUAAGGCAUUUAAUUUGGGCCAUCUGAGGAUCGCAUUGUAAGCAAAGGGGACCUGAACAACAAGGAAGGUGAGUUGCACAAUUUUGCUCUGAGGCUCUUGCUCGAUGGUCACUGGUAAAGUUAUCUUCCCUUCCAUAGCCAUGGAGUCCCUAGAAAAUUCAAUCGAGGGAGUGCUAACUUUCUUUAGUCGGUGACUGGGCAGUUUUAUCUUUUGAAAUGCAUCAUAAAAUAGUACAUCAAUCGAUUUUUUAUUAUCAAUUAAAUUUUUUUAUAUUAUAAUUUACUAUUAUUAUUGUCAUGAUAAUAGCAUCAUCAUGAGAGGUCUAGAUCCCACUGAGUUCAUCAUCAGAUAAAGAAAUAAAAUCUCCAAUGUGCUGCCUCUUCACCCACUUUGUCCAAUUUUUUACACCAACCCCCCUUCCCCCUGGUGCCUGUGAGGCCAAGGAUCAUGUUGAGGACAUUGGCCAUGGCUCAGUUAUUAUGAUGACUCCUGUUACAAACCUCGAUCGGCUAUAGAUCGAUCGGGGCAAAGGGUUGUGCAAUGGCAGACUGUCGGCCCAGCACCACCCUGACAGUGAUGAAAGCAUUAUUGGUGGGGGUUGGUGGAGUUGUGUGCUCUUAUUCUUAUCAUGCUCUCUUUCUUUUAUUAUUGAGAUAAUGAUCCUUUCUUCAGUACUAAUCUAUUAUUAUAAAAUCUUCGAUUCAAAGUAGAUGUUUUGAGGUCGAACUCAUUCUGAUCCAGGAGGUCGGCGCCAAUCUAGAGGUUGGGAGGCCAAGAAAAACUUGCAGGAGAAGUCCAUUCUCAUUGAGAGUUUUCUGAUGGAGGGACCUCCGAUGUUUAAGUCAGCCGAAGCUCAAGAACAGUAGAGAAAAGAGAAUGAUGGAGAGAGAAUAAGAGCAUAGGAGUGUUCUCUAGAGCUAAGCUUACCUGAGCAUCUCCUUGUUAUCUCUUUAUAUAGAGAUAAAGUUGUAAGUUGUUAUACCAAAAACUUGAUAGGCCAUUAGGCCCUAAUUUCUUAGGCUGCUAGGCCUCAGUCUGACAGGCUGGUAGGAUAGAGAAUCCCUCGACUAACCUGUGAAUCAAAAUCAUUAGUCAUGGAUAUCAGUUGCAGAUCAUGCCCACAUUCUGAAAGUUGUCGGGAGGUCCAUGGAUCGCCCACAUGGAUGAAUGGAUUUGUGUCCUGAGGUUGGUAUUGAGUCUAGGCUUUACCUUGAAUCAGUGCUCGUGCAGGUUACUGGGCUAUGUUCCUUAUCGUCAGUAGGAUCCUGACCUUGAGGUUGGUAAAUAUCUAAUCAGGAGGACGGAGAGGAGCCGAUGAUAUAAAGUUGCUCUGCCUUAGUUUCUCGAAUCUUUCUUCGAUGCUUGAGGCCGCCCCCAUCAAUAACUGCUUAGCUAUAAUCCGAUGAGGAUGAGGUCAGAUUGGGUGGUGGAUAUCAUGCACAACAAAAUCAAAUUUAACUACAUAAUUUAUUUUCUUGAUUUANNNNNNNNNNNNNNNNNNNNNNNNNNNNNNNNNNNNNNNNNNNNNNNNNNNNNNNNNNNNNNNNNNNNNNNNNNNNNNNNNNNNNNNNNNNNNNNNNNNNNNNNNNNNNNNNNNNNNNNNNNNNNNNNNNNNNNNNNNNNNNNNNNNNNNNNNNNNNNNNNNNNNNNNNNNNNNNNNNNNNNNNNNNNNNNNNNNNNNNNNNNNNNNNNNNNNNNNNNNNNNNNNNNNNNNNNNNNNNNNNNNNNNNNNNNNNNNNNNNNNNNNNNNNNNNNNNNNNNNNNNNNNNNNNNNNNNNNNNNNNNNNNNNNNNNNNNNNNNNNNNNNNNNNNNNNNNNNNNNNNNNNNNNNNNNNNNNNNNNNNNNNNNNNNNNNNNNNNNNNNNNNNNNNNNNNNNNNNNNNNNNNNNNNNNNNNNNNNNNNNNNNNNNNNNNNNNNNNNNNNNNNNNNNNNNNNNNNNNNNNNNNNNNNNNNNNNNNNNNNNNNNNNNNNNNNNNNNNNNNNNNNNNNNNNNNNNNNNNNNNNNNNNNNNNNNNNNNNNNNNNNNNNNNNNNNNNNNNNNNNNNNNNNNNNNNNNNNNNNNNNNNNNNNNNNNNNNNNNNNNNNNNNNNNNNNNNNNNNNNNNNNNNNNNNNNNNNNNNNNNNNNNNNNNNNNNNNNNNNNNNNNNNNNNNNNNNNNNNNNNNNNNNNNNNNNNNNNNNNNNNNNNNNNNNNNNNNNNNNNNNNNNNNNNNNNNNNNNNNNNNNNNNNNNNNNNNNNNNNNNNNNNNNNNNNNNNNNNNNNNNNNNNNNNNNNNNNNNNNNNNNNNNNNNNNNNNNNNNNNNNNNNNNNNNNNNNNNNNNNNNNNNNNNUUUGUUUGGAUUUUUUUAUAGGAUUGGAUUGAAAAUCCUCUAAGAUUUAUAGAUUGGGCUAGUGUAUCGAGCAAAAUCAUAGGCUAUAGGACUAAUUCUGUGUGCAUCAUGUGCAGUGUAAUAAAAUUGACGUAGAGCACAUCAUCUAAUUAUAUUAGACUAUAUAGCAUAAUUAAUAAUGAGACAGAUAUUUAAUGCCUCUCAAUUUUUUUUAUCAGAUUUUUGCUGGUGAAAUAUCCUUCCCUUUGUAUGACAAAGAAAGAAUAAUAUUAUUAGUUCCUAAUAUCUUACAUAAUUUUCUAUGAGUAUAUAUGAUAUCCUAAAUAAUAUAUAUAUCUUUUUGUAUCUUUAUAUGAUAUUUUAAUAGUUAUUAUGAUUUUUUAUAUCUUUAUAUGACAUCUUGAAUAAUAUAUAUGACUUUGUAAUAUCUUAUAUGACUUUCUAUGAAUAUAUAUGAUAUCUUGAAUAAUAUAUAUGAUUUUCUAUGAAUAUACAUAACAUCUUAAAUAAUAUAUAUAAUUUUUUGUAUCUUUAUCUGUCAUCUUAAAUAAUAUAUAUGACUUCUAGAUGUCUUAUAUGACUUCUUAUAAAUAUAUGACAUCCUGAAUAGUAUAUAUGACUUUUUAUGAAUAUAUAUGAUAUCCUAAAUAAUAUAUAUAUCUUUCUAAUAUUUUAUAUGAUUUUUUGUUAAUAUAUAUGAUAUUCUAAAUAAUAUAUAAUUUUUUAUAAAUAUAUGUGACAUCUUGAAUAAUAUAUAUGAUAUUUUGUAUCUUUAUAUGAUAUUUUGUUGGUUAUUAUAACUUUUUGAUGUCAUAUAUGACUUUGUGUUGAUUAUAAUAACUAAUAGAGUAUCAUAUAAAGAUACAGAUAGUCAUAUAUAUUCUUCAAAAUAUCAUAUAUAUUCAUAAAAAAUUAUAUAUAUUAUUCAGAAUGUCAUAUAUAUUGAUAGAAAGUUAUAUAAAAUAUCAAAAAGUCAUAUAUAUUAUUCAGGAUGUCAUAUAUAUUGUUCAGGAUAUUAUAUAUAUUCACAGAAAGUUAUAUAAAGUAUUAGAAAGUUAUAAUAACCAACAAGCUAUUAUAUAAUGAUACAAGAAGUCAUAUAUAUUUACAGAAAGUCAUAUAAAAUAUCAAAAAGUAAUAAUACUAUUUUUUCUUUAUUCUAUAGAGGAAAAGGAUAUUUUCGUUAACAAAAAUCUGAUGAAAAAUAGUUGAGUGGGAUUAAAUAUCUGUCCUAUUAUUAAUUAUGCUUUGUGGUUCAAUAUGAUUGGGCAAUGCGCUCUCUGACCAGUUGAUAGAGUUAAUGUUCCAUUUUAAUUGAUGAAAAUGCCCUCUCCUGCUUUUAGCUUAUUCUAGUUUUAAUUGCUGUAUAAAUAUAUUAAUAAUCCAGGUCAUCCACAUGGCCACUUUGAGACCUAUCUAGAUGAAUGAGCAUUCAAAUCAUUCAUGCGGCUGUUUUGAGAUUUGUGUAGAUGGAUAAAUAAAUGGAUCAUUCGUUGCACAAAUCUCAAAAUGCUUCAGACUACUUUAUUAAUCCACCUGCACAGAACUCAAAACGAUUAGUGAACAAUCCAUGUUAUUCAUCUUCAUGCACAAAUCUCAAAGCGAUCGCAUAAAUUGUCCAGAUUAUUCAUUCUUCUACAUAGAUCUCGAAGCGAUCAAUUGAUGGUCAGGAUAUUCCUAUGCCUGUACGGAUCUCAAAGGACUAUGAUGAUCUAGAUUUUUAUUUUUAUUUCCAAAUCUCAAAGCAAUUAUGGAUGAUCCAGAUAUUCAUCCAUCUACACAAAUCUUAAAGCAACCAUAGAAUGAUCAGAUAUUCAUUUACCUGCACAGAUGCCAAAGCAACCAUGGUAAUCCAAAUGUUCCUAUAUUUGUAUAGAUCUCAAAGAAAUCAAUGGAUGAUCUGAAUUAUGCAUCAAUAUGCAUAGAUCUUAAAGCAACCACAGAUGAUCCAGAUAUUUGUCUGCCUAUAUGGAUCUCACAAGCAAUAAUGAAUGAUCCUGGCAUAUAUUAGAAGAAGGUUAUGUAGUUCUUUUAUCAUGAUUGGUGCAUAUUUUGCAUGAAUUCCAAUAGCAAUUUGAAAUGGUCUACAAGAUUCCAAAAGACUUUUAGAGUAUAUACAAAAAUAUCUAGGUCACUUACAGGUUUUCUCCUAGUAGCUAGUUGGUCCUUAAUUUGUUUAAUUGUGUAAAUACUCUUAUAUUAAAAGCGGACUUUUUUGAUUUCACUUAACCAUUGCUUCAAAUGAAUGACGUGGGACUGGAUAAUUAUCUCAAAGCAUCUCUCAAGUGUUCCUCAUACCUCCCUAACAAAUUUGACACCUACAAUGUAUAAGAUAGCAAUUUUUAGAAGGGUAGUAUUAAUCCAAGAUAACAUUAUUUGAUCUUUUUUAUAUUACUUAUCAAAGGCAAUAUUUAUUAUUCUUUUAUUAACCUUCUAAGAUGGUUUUUGGAGGAGCAAGAGGGCUCCAAUUUAUAAUACCCAUUAAUUUAUAACACUUAGGAUUGGAAGAAAAAGAGAAUUCGACAUAAAAUAAUUAUUAGGAUCAAACUUAAUAGAAAUUAGAUAGGCAGUGCUGAUGAUUAUCAGAGAAACUGAUGAAAUUUCUAACACCAUGGUUGAAGAUGAUGAUCCUUCUAUGGCCUUCAGAUGUUUGAUCCUAGGCACAAGUGGUGGUGAGUCCUAUAUGGCUCUAUUAUUAAGAAAUAAGAGAAGAUUUUGGAGAAUGAAAGUAGUGAUUAUAUAUUGCCACUGCUAUAUUACAUUAUAUUUAUAGACUCAUUAUUAUAUAAGAAUAUAAAUAAAAAUUAGAUUCAAUUGAUUUGGAUUUAAAUUAAAAAUUUUAAAAUUUAAAUUUAAAUUGCAACAAAGAUGGUAAUCAUGUUUGCAUAUCUUAUGAUUGCAUGAUUCGAGAUUGCCAUCAAUGGUUGAUAUUUUAAAUUCAAAUUUAAAUUCAAAAUAAAUCAAAAAUAAUAAUUAUGUUGGUAUAUCUCAUAAUUAUAUAAAUCAAAUCUAAUAUUAAUAGCUGAUAUUUAAAAUUUAAAUUUAAAUUUAAAAUAUAUUUAAAAUAAUAAUUAUAUUGACAUGUCUUGUGAUUAAGAUGGAUAUAAGCUAAUUCUACCAUUAGAGCUAUGCAUAGGUUAUGUUGGAGUGGUUUGCACACCUCUGGCUGAGGGAACAAAUCAAAAAUGGUACAUGAAAUUAGUGGGCCGUAGAUUCUUAAAUCUAGGCAAACACAGGAGUGUCGAAAGAUGGCGGCCAGGUACGUACGCAUUCUCAGUAAUUGUCAUCUCCCGAGAAUGAGGGGCAAUACUCCUUUGUGUAUCCUACUAGUACUAGUUUCCUUGAGUUGCUUUCAUCCAUUUGCGUCAUAUAAUCCAGGAAACUUUUUGGAACAAAAUUCAUAUGGGGAGGAUACCAUAGGCCAUCGUAUAGGAUGGAUCUAAUUUUAUUUAUAUAUAUUUUUUUAUUUUUUAUUCUAUCUGCUAGUGAAAAAUAUUUUGAUCACCGUCAAAAUAUUAUUGAAUUUUUUUUUAAUGGAUUGAAAUAAUUUUAACUUACCAAUUAAGAAUUAUUGACUAUCAAAAUAAUUCUCAUUGAUUUCAUAAUCCACUAGUGAUGUCUAGCAGCAUGUAGUGGUAACCUAAUAGAGCAGAAGGAUGAACCUCUAGGUGUAGUUACUGUAUAAUUUAGUUCUUCUAUCGUGAGUUCCGACAAGAUGGAGGUUGUGAAAAAUUUAUCAAACCCCAUCAUUUGUCAUAUAUAAGAUUUAUUCGACUUGAUUUUAUUUAUGAAAUUUGAUGAAAAUUUUUUUCAAUCAUUCACUCUAUCCAGAUCUAGAUCUUUUGAACUCAGUCUCAUAAAGCACAUAGAAUUUUUUCUUAACUACUAAGUUGAUAGAUUCUAUCUAAAUGCACAACCUAUUCCUACAAUGAAUGUACUGUAGCCAACUUACACCUCAAGGUUCCAUAUGGUUAGGAGAUCGAGUUAUAGUAUAGUCAAACUACGACAAUCUUACUGUGAGUAGUCGAGGCACUGUAGGUCAAAGAACUAUUCACACUACUAUAGCAUCGAGAAUGUCAUUGAUGAGUGAGUAAAUAUCUAAAUGACUUCUCAUAUUGAUCACACUCGAUAUCGUUGUUCUCUAACAACCGUCUACACUUUCGCUCCAAUGUCCCCACACUGUAGACUCGAGACUCGUUUAUCUUAAAAAAAGUGAUCCAUGGAUCAAUUUUAUUGGAUCAUUCACCACCCCCAUGAUGAUCCUUUGAUCAAGAGUAAUUUAAAAGUUAACCAUCAAUGACACACAUACCUCAAAUUUUUAAAUUUUGAGAAUAUGUGUCAUUAUCUUAUUAAUUUUUUGAAUAAUUCAUGGACACAUAUACUACAUGAAUAAAAUUAACUGUCUUAAUUAAUUUAAUCAAGUAUAAAAGUAUAUCUUUAAAAAAAUUAAUAUGUCAGUGGAUGAACUUUGAUUGACUCGAUUCAUUUUAUCUUAUGUUCAAUCAAAUUACUCUAAUUUGAAUGUAUUUAUACUAUCAUUGAUCAUAUCAAGAUAGAUCUCUAUCUAUGAACAUCAUCUCACUCAUGAACAUAUAAUAAAGAUAGAAUUCAAAUCUAAUAAAAUUCAUCUCUCAUGUAAAUUAGAUUCAAAAUUUUAGAUAUAUGAACAUUAAGAUAAAAUAUAUAUCUAAAAAUUUUGGAUUAAUCAAGACAUCACAUGACUGUCAAUAAUCAUUAAUUUUAGAUUAACAAUCAUAAAAAAUUAAAUUUUUAGAUUUGAAAAUAAUUUUUAGAUCUUGAAAGUAAUCACAUGAAUAUAAAUCAAUCUGAAUUUUAGAUCUAAAAAUAAUUUUCAGAUCUUGAAAUCCAUCACAUGAAUUUUAGUCAUUCAAAUUUUAGAUUUGAAAACUAAUUUUUAGAUCAUAAAUUUCAUCUCCUUGAUCACGAAUAUUCUUAAUUUCAUAUCUAAAAAUUAAAAUUUCAAAUAUAAAAUCAUCUUCAUGAUCAAAUAAAAUUUAGAUUUUUAGAUUUGAAAAUAAUUUUCAAAUCUAAAAUUUAGAUCUCAAUCUUGCAUUAGUAAGAUGACUCUAAUACCACUUGAAGAAAAUUUCAUCUCAUGGGUUUCGAUAUGUAUGCAGAAAUUUUAAAAAUUUAAUCUAAUAGAGAUCACAGUGAAAUAAAAAUUUCAGAUAUGAAUUCUCAACAUCAUUCUAGGAUAAUUAUUCAGCAUAACUUUUAACUAUUAUGCUAGAACAAUCUUAUAUUAGAAUAAUUUAAAAAUUUAAAUUAAUAAUUAGAUCUAAUCUAACUAGCAUACAUAAAGAGAUCAUAUCUCAAAUAAAAUAUCAGGCAUCAAUAUUAAAUACAAGAUUAAAGAUUUAGAAAAGAAUUUGAAUUUAUACCUUUGCAUGAAUAAAUCUACCACAAUUCGAUGGUCCUUGGAUGUCUUCAAGGUUCUGUUGUAGCCGUAUAAGUAUCUGACUUCUAUAAGUAUCCAUCGAGACUGAUCUGAUCAGGAGAUUUUGAUCUCACCAGAGUGUUAGCUCUCUUACAGAGAUCGCUUUCUGAAUUAUCGAAUUGGUUUGAACUUUUGAUCCUCUUCUCAAGAGAAACAAAUAGAUCUAAAAGAAGAGGAUGAAAUCCGAUCACAUCUCAUUUCUUUUUGUCUUUUCUCUUCUUAAGAGAAAAUAUGAAGAUCUAUGGAAGAAGAUAAGAGAUCAAAUCUCUUUCUUCUUCCUUCUUUUUCAAUACUUGGACUAAAUCUAGAAAAGAUAAAGGAGAACCGUCUAUCUCAUGGACUAAGAAGGAGAAAAAAAUUAGAUCAAAUCUAAUUUUAUUCAUGUCCAACUCUUGGACAUCUUUUGAGGAGAAGGAGAAGAAGACAUAUCCAAUCUUUAAACAAAGAAGAGAGAGGGAGAGUUACCUAUCAACAACCAACUCUUGGUUGUUAGAAAGAAGGAUGAAGGGAGAAGAUGCCACAAAGCCAAACACACGCCCUUAUUCCCUUUUGUGUGAAAUCAUAUCUCAUGUCCUCCUUUUCUCUCACACCUCCUUUUUUGAUCUCCUCUAGUCUCUCUUAGGGAGGUGCCCCACUUAUCUCUAUUUAAACAUAGAUUAGUUAGGAUUUAAGAAAAGGAUAUACUGGGACUUUAUCUCUUGGUAAUCGCCACCCCUUCUCAUGAUCUCCUAUUUUUAGGGCACCCACAAUAUUUCUCAUGAAAUAAUUCCACACCAAAACUAAGAAGAGGCACCAUAAAAUAAGAGAAGAGUCCUUUUGCAUGUUGUCCUCUUAUAGAUACGAUCCAAUUUGAUUUGGGUUCAAAUCCAAAUUGGUUUGGGUUAUCACAUUAAAUCAACAACUUAAUUAUAUCUAAACCUUUUAGACUUAUGAAACUCAAUCCAAGAUAAAUUAUGAUCAUAUCUAAUCAAAUUAAAUCUGGAUUAAUUUGACUAGGACCUUAUCUUUAUCAAACAUGGCUUAAGAUUAGAUCAAACCCAAUCUAUAUAGGUUUGGAUGAAGUAUUUAUUAGAUUUAAUCUUAUUAGACUUGUGAAAUCUAAUUUGAGUCAAACUCAAACCAAAACUAAUCAAAUUAAAUCUGAUUUAAUUUGAUUAGGAUCCAAUUCUAAUAUUUGAUUAAAUCAAUUAAUAUGCAAUAAUUAUAAUUUAGUUCUCUUAUAACUUACUAACUCUUAGUAAGUUCUCAACAUAAUUUUUACAUUUUAGUCCAAUCAUCAAUCAAAUUGAUAAUUAAGAUCACUUGUGAUUUGUGAUUCAAAAUCUUGAUUCGAUGAUCUGAUCAGUCAAGACCUCUUUUAUGUGUGAUCCCAAAGGUUCUAUUCUAUUUGGUAGUGAGAAAUAUUAUGAUCACCAUCAAAAUAUCAUUGAAACUUCUUUCAAUAGAUUAGAAUAAUUUCAGCUCACCAAUCAAAAAUUAUUAAUCAUCAAAAUAAUUUUUAUUGAUCCUAUAAUCCAUCAGUGAUGCCUAGCAGCAUGUAGUGACAACCUAGUAGAACAAAAAGAUGAGCCUCUAGGUGUAGUUACCAUGUGAUUCAAUUCUUCUAUCAUAAGUCUCGACAAGAUGGAGAUUAUAAAAAAUUUAUCAAAUUUCAUCAUCUGUCAUAUGUAAGAUUUAUUUAA